rnacentral:lncRNA from 1 species
GGGUAGCAAAAGAUCACGUGUCAACAUCUCAAGGAAUAGUGUUGCGAUGCGUUAAUAAUACGUUGUUUCUCAUUUGUUUUCGUGUCGUCUUGUGUUGUGCUGUGUUGUAUCAAGCUUAAGCCUCGAAUUGAAAUUCUAUUUUCUAUUCCCAAGGAAGGCUAUAAAAUAAUUUUUUACUGCAUUAAAAUAAAUAAUCUUAAAAAUUCAAACUAUUAGAGCUUAGCGGUUGCGAGUGCGGGAGUUUGCGGAAACAGACGAUUGCGGUUUUGAACGUUAUUCAAAGGUUUACACGACUGGUUAAACUUUUUAAAACAUGUUUAUUUACGGGACAUUUUUGACUGACAAACCAGCGAUUGUUUUAGCGGUUAAACAUAAAAUUACCAAAAUAAACAUCAUAUAUAAUUAUAAGAAAAUAAAAACUAUAUUAUUAAUUUAUUAUGAUAAAUAUCAAAAUCACUAUUUUAAAAUAAUUAAUAAAAAUUAUAAAUAAAUGCUAAAUAAUUAUUUUAAAAACUAAUAAAUUUUAUAAUAGUUUAUUUUAUUUCAAUUAUUGGGAACUUCAUCUAAAAUUGUGUCUAAUAAUGUAAUAGAGUGGAAAAAAUUGUUCCAAUAUGUAGACAUCCUGGAUUAUCUUAUGCAUGAUGUAAAAUUUUUUCAAUUGAUCUAAUCGAUUUUUUGCACGCCACCAACUCAAAUCAACUCCAAAUUGCUCAUUAGUAUUCAAAAUACGUUUUUUCUGGAGUGUACUCAAAAAUCUAUAUAUUGAAUUUAUUUUUAACAAUGAUUCGUUGAAGUAACGCACAUAUCAUCUCGUUUGAUCAUGUAACUUUCUGAAGAAUAAAAAAAAGAAUUAUAACAAACUAAUUUUGUAAUUAAUAAGAUACAUAUUUAUAAUUUUUUACUUUAAAAGUGGAAACAGAAAAAUUAAUAUAAAUGAAUUAAACCAAAAUAUUAUGGCACUUACUUGUAUCUUAAUUUUCUUCAAUUGAUAUGAAAGUGGGUUUAUAUAUAUAUAGAGGAGAAUAUUAGUAGGGUUAGAGUUUUAUAAUUUUUUUUAACGUGAUUUUUUAUUUUAUUUUUCUAGCGUGAUUUUAUUUUUUUUUAAAAUUUUUAUCCAACCGCUACUGCCCGCAACCGCAAACGUUGGCAGGAAGCAGCUUCUGGAUUUCAGCAGUAUAAAAUGAUACGGAGCGGUUUGCAGCGAUUUCUAUGAUUGUGAUAAAACGCCACUAACCGUUACCAACCACAAACACUGCGUUUGCGGGUGAUAGCAGGUGAACCAAUCAACACUUAAGUCUAGAUGUUCAUUACGUAAUUCUCUAAAAUGGCCCCAAAAAACUUUAAACUGACAAAAAGAGCUCUGUUUUUUAGUGUGGACCAAUAUAGCAUUGUAUUAAUUAAAAAAACGAUUUCUAUUUCCAUUUCGAUCUUCUUCGAAAACUUUCAUCCAAUCAUAUAGCGAUCUAGAUAUCCACCGUUGCCGGAAUCUUCGAAGUGUAAUCGCCAGAAAUUGAUCGUUGACGGAGUCGUAUCUUCAAGCGGUAAUCAAUUUUCCUUUUGUUUGUGUGAGUUUUUUGGGUACCAACCCUAGAUUGGGUAUCUUCUUCGCUGGAACAAAAUUAAGAUGUUUGCGCAGAAGAAAUUAACACCUCCUCCAGGGCAUAUAAGGUUGUCAUUCUCGAUGAAGCUGAUAGGUUCGUGCUGCUAAGUUAGUGGCUUUUACCUGAAUCUUUAUCCUUUUCUCUGCGUUUUCACCGUUUUGGAUUUGCCACUUUCUUUUUGAGUUGUGCGAAUCAAGUGUUUCUGAUUCAUUGUGCUGUUUUUUCUGUUUUGGUUUGCAAAAUUAGCAUGACAUCUGGAGCACAACAAGCAUUGAUGAGACGAUUUAGAUCUAUUCAAACUCUACUCGGUUUGCACUUGCUUGUAACACAUCAGCCAAGAUUAUUGAGCCCAUUCAGAAUAGAUGCGCCCUAGUUCGAUUCUCUAGAUUAUCUGAUCUGGAGAUUCUAGGCCGUCUCAUGAUGGUGAUUCAAGCAGAGAUUAAUGUAUGGAUUCUGCCACUUUUCUUUCGUUCUACAUGUUUACAUACCAUGAAUCAGACCCCUGUUUUGCCUUGGCUAAGAAAUCAAAUCUAUCUGUAACCAACAAUAAAGAAAGCUAAGCAAUAUGAUUAUUACCUGAAAUGUCGACAUUUCUAAUUUGUGUUCUCAAUCUAGGUUCCGUUUAUACCUGAAGGCCUUGAGGCGAUAAUCUUCACAGCUGAUGGUGACAUGAGGCAAGCUCUGAACAACUUGCAAGCCACAUUCAGCGGUUUUCGGUUUGUCAACCAAGAAAACGUCUCCAAGGUUCGAUACAAAUCCUUGAUUCACUUAGCUUCUAAUCAUAACUUGAAUCUCUCCACUUAUUUCCUCAAUUUUGUUUCAGGUCUGUGACUUUCCUCACCCACUACAUGUCAAAAACAUGGUUCGCAAUGGGUUGGAAAGUAAGUUUGAUGAUGUUUGUCACCGCAUGAAGCAGCUAUACGAUCUAGGCUAGUACUCUCCAACUGAUAUGAUCGUGACCAGCUCAGAGGAGGAGGAACCAGAGGUAGCUGGCAGGAUUACUCGUUCCAGAGCUAGAGAGAUGGCUAAGGAGGCUCACGCACUCAUAGCUGCAGAGGACAUCGAUCAACUGGAGGCUGGAGCUCACAUCUUCAAUAUCUCUAUCUUGAAGAAUGAAGAACCCAGUAACAAUGACUAGGUAACUUAGGUGAUGAUUCUGUACUCUUUUCCUUGGUGAGGAUUUUGGAAGGCAAGGAGGUUCUUCUCCAAGGUUUUUAACGAGGCAGAAAUCAUUGCUACGUCGAGUUACUUAGAAGUUGUUACUAAUGGAUAAUAAUGUGCAAAGUCACAAUGACUUGUGCACUAGUUGUUUUAGGCGCACCACUUAGGAUUUAGAAGGGACGCCUCGCUGUUUUAUUUUUUAAUCAAACUUCGUGUUGUUUUUAUUUCAGACUUCAUGUAGUUUUGUAUUAGGGCUGCGAUUUCUCUCUAACUCUAUUUAAGAGAGAAAAUCGCCUAAGUAUUAUUCAGUGAAGAAUUUUGAUCAAACUUUUAACGUGUUCUUCUCUCUUUGAUUUCUGAGAACUAAAAACUCUGAAAUUCGAAUCUCUUAAAAACUAAUCUGUUUACAAGAGAUUCUUCUAUCCCUCCAUUCCAUCGAUAUCAUCUCAUCCUCACCAACAAUCGAUAUCAUCUCAUCAUCACCAUACCAUCGAUCUCACGCUCACACCACCGCUUCUCAUCGCAUCCACCCACCAUCGCGAGUCAUCCACUCGAUCACCAAGCCACCAUUACGAGUCCAUCGCAUCUUCAGUAGCCUUUUCUUCGGAGUUGAUCACCUAGGAUCGUAUCACCAACUGACGUUAUCUCAACGUUUUUCCGUAUACUCAAGAAUUAUGAUAUGGCAGAGUAUCUGAAACUCGAGUUCAUCAAGGUAUGCAUAUAGUUUUUUUUCACAUCUAAAAAAACAUCACACCUUCUGCAUUUUGUUGUCUAAGGCCAGUUUAUGUUAUUCAGGAAACUGGAUUUGCGCAUAUGAGAAUCUGUGAUGGAGUUGGAUCAUAUCUUCAGCUAUGUGGUCUUCUGGCUUUGCUAGCCGUUGUUCGUGAAACAGCUAGAUUCAUUUUUUUAUUUGAUAAAGUCUUCCUAACUUUAGGAAGGUUUUCCUAAAUAUUUAGAAAGACAUCUAUUUAUUAUUUGAUCAAGUAGUAAUUAACACAGAAUUUAGGAAGACUUUUCUUGGACAAAUUCAUACAGAUUUUAGUAAGAUUCUCUUAAAACAAUUGUUGUCUAUUUAUAAAUCUAGGAAUGCAUUCUUAAAUGUUUAGAACAGCUUCCUAAAUUUGCAUCAUUGUAUACAUAGGCACAAAUUUCUUAUUUAUACGUUUUAUGAAGACAUUACUAAAUAUGUAGGAUGACUUCCUUAAUUUGAGUUAGACACAAAAGUUACCAUUUUUAUGAAUUUUUACGGUUUAGGAAGGUUUUCCUAAAUAUGUAUAUCGACUUUGUAAAUUAUGAUGUACAAACACUCAUUCCAAAUUUGUAUGAAUGAUUUCUAAAUAUUUAUAAAUGCUUUCUAAAUUCAAAUUUAGGAAGCUUUUUUGACUUUUCAUGAGUGAGUUUUACAAAUUUAAGAAUGUCCUCCUAAAUCGUAUGUUAACCCAUUACUAUUUGAUCAAAUGAAAAAGAUUUUAACUUGGUACUUAUGUCUUUUGUAACUUUUCACUUAACUUGGAUAUAUAAUGAAUCCCUAUCAUUACACAGAGACCCCAUGUCAUAUGCCAUAUCAGAUUGCUUCGGGAAAAUUUAUUUUCUUAUAGCUUUUCAACUUUAGUGGAAGUGAGAACUUUAGCAUCAAUCUCUGUGGUUAAACUGACUUGUGUCCGAGCUUUAACAAGCAUUCAGAGUCAAUAGAUGUAAUUCUCCACACCACCAAAGUUUGGGAAGAAGCUCCAGUGCUGCAAGAUGCAACUUCAUAUAUAUGAGCAGCACUAACUAGAAAACAUAAUUCUAGUUAAAAGACGUUUCUUCUAGUAAUCCCAACACUAGAACCCUAAAUCAAUAUUCAAACCCUACAAAUGACGUUCUUAAUAGAUAUAUCAGAUAAGAAAAGUUUUAGGAAGAUCUUCCUAAAUAUGUAGGAAAGUUUCCUAAUUUAUUUAGAAAGAAAUUCCUAAAAAAAGCUAGUGUAUUGCAAUGUCAUCCCAAAAGCAGCGGCAUGUCCUUGGAGGAUCGUCUCAUGUCCAAGGAGGAUCUGUGAUACCACAAUUCUACAAAUAAUCCGCAUGACCAAUUUAAGUUGAAGAUAAUCACCGGAAUUUUUGAUUUCCAUAAAUAUUGAAACAAGAUCGAAAACUCAGAAUUUGAUGAGAGAAGUAAAAGUCAAUAGAGAACGAACCGUGAAGGGCCUAUAAUUAGUAGUAAUCCAUGGUAACGAUCUCCUUGGAAUCGCGAAUUUGAUGAUAGAAGCAGACUAAGAAAACAUUUGUGGGGAAAUUCUGGAGAUGGUGUUGGUGAACUCUCUGAGGGGUUUCAGCUUCAUAUCCAGUAGAGCGACGGCGAGGAGAGAGAGAGAGAGAGAGAGAGAGAGAGAGAGAGAAUAAGCGAGAGAGAGAGAGAGAGAGAGAGAGAGAGAGAGAGAAUAAGCGAGAGAGAGAGAGAGAGAGAGAGAGAGAGAGAGAGAGAGAGAGAGAGAGAGAGAGAGAGAGAGAGAGAGAGACGAGUCGAGAAUAUAUUUCUCAAAAUCCAGAAUCAAAACAAAAAAAACGUAGAAGAGUCAGUUAAUGAAUGCUAAUUUGGUCCCUUCCAAAUAAAGGGGCUAUUUUUAAGAAGAUUUAGUUUUUUUAGGCUACUUCAUUCAAUUAAUUCUUUAAAAUGGCCCCAAAAAAUUAAAACUAACAAAAAAAGCUCUGUUUUUUUAGUGUGGACCAAUAGGUUUAAUGGCUGUAAUGCCAUAUAUUAGAAAAAUUAAAUCUGUUGUGCCAUAAACAAGUCUGUGUGUCAUAAUACACAUGUAAUUCGUUUUAAUGGCUAUAAUGCCAUAAAUUGAAAAAAGUUAAUCUGUUGUGUCAUAAACAAGUCUGUGUGUCAUAAUACACAUAUAAUUUAUAUUUUACCCUUAAUGAAAUUUUUUGUGGCAUUCCUGAAUUUAAUAAAAAAGUAAUAGAUUUUAUUUAAAUUGAAAUUAAUAAUUAAAACGAAAUUAAUUUAAAAAAUAAUUUUUUAAUUUUUUUUUUCUGUUUCUUCUUCUUCGUCAACGUUUUGUUGAUGGAUUCUGAAAACCACCAAAUCUCAUUCUCGCCAUCAAACCCUCGUCUCUCCUCCUCUUCUUCAUCCUGUGUAAUCACUUUAUUGUUUUUAUCUCCUCUCUCCACCACCAUUGUUGAAGUUUCAAACCCAUUUAGGUUUUUGUUUGGAGAUUUGGGGAUUAUACAAUUUAGGGAUUGAAUUUCUCAAAAUUGCUUGUUUGGUAUGUAAAUCGGGUUGGUAACCUAGUUUAUGUGAUGAUUAGGUCUUUGCAUAGAUAAUUUAUCAAAUAUAGUUGUUGAAUCGUAGUGAUUCUUAGGUAUAAAAUCCGAGUUCAUCACCAAAUCUGCAGAAGAGAACAACUGGUACGAAUGGUACAACUAAGAGAUAAGAGAACAACUAGUACAACUGGUACAACUAUGAGAUAGAUGACAACUGGUACAAAUAGGUAUAACUAAGACAACUUAAAUAAUUGCUGAUUGAAAAUUCUUUUAUUAUUAUUGAAAAUCGGGUUGGUAACCUAGUUUUAUAUGACAAUUUUGCAUGAAUAAUUUCUUAAAUAUAGUCGUUGAAUCGUAGUGAUUCUUAGGUAAAGUAUAAUUAUCUGAGUUCAUCUCCAAAUCUGCAGAGGAGGACAACUAGUACAAUUAGGUACAACUAUGUACAAAAAUUGACGGCACACAUAAAUGCACCUGUUAUUUUGAUAGAUAGUGACACUUAGGUAAGUCAAUCUAAACUUGAGGAUUUCAUUUUUGGCGGAAAAUACUUUCUGGAUGGAAAUAAACAAGGUACAAUUGGACACAUAUGUACAACUAUAUGCAAUUCUUUCAUUAGAAAAUAAUAGUGAUAAACUAUAAAUACAGAAAGCAAACAUUCACUUAAAAAAUGUAAAAAAUUUGUAAACUAUAAGGAAUAAAAUUAAAAAGAUGGAUAACAUGAAAUUUAUCAUUUUUCUAAUACAUAUUAUUGGUUUCACAUCCAACACCCCUUAUGAUACAAAGAAGACUUUGAUAAUGUUAACAAUCUUCGUUAUUUCAUGCUAUCCACAUUCUUUGAUUCAUAUUAUUUUUCAUUUUUCGUACUUAGAUUAUUUUUGUUUAUCUUAGCGUCCUUUCUUAUCUUCAUAUUCUCAUACUUUAUCAUCUUCAUCUUUCGGUCUCUUUCCUCAUCUUCAACUUCUUGGUCUUUGUAUUUUCUAAAAUACCUCUUAGUCAACUUCCUCUUUUUCUUCUUUCUCAUGUUCUUUAUCUUUUAUUUUUUUUAUCAGCUUCCUCUUGAUCGUCUUCAACUUUUUCUUCUUAUUUGUCUUCUUUCUCUUAUUCUUACUUACCUAGUGUAUGUAUUCAUUUUCUUCUAUUUCGACUUAAUCUGCGUAUUCUUUUUUAAUUUUUGGUAAUUCUUUGUCUUUUAUUCUCUGAAUUCCUUCUUUUUUUUUUGUUUUCUGUUUACUUCCCAUAUUUCUUUAUCUUAUAUGAAUUUGUAUUCCUCAUAUUCAUCUUCUUUUAGUUUCUCUACAUCAUCUUUUGAUUUUCUAAUUAUUCUUCUUUUUUUUUUCUGUCAUCUUUCAGAUUUCUUCUUCUUCUUUAUCUUCCUUAUAUCCUUAUCUUUAUCAUUCUUUGAUAUGUUUAUGUGUAUCCAUAUUACCUAAUUUCUUAUAGUUUUUCUUAGUCUCCUUCAUAUUCACAUUCUCAUACUUUGUGAUCUUCACCUUCGUAUUUAUCUUUCAUUUUUUCCAUCUUUCUCUUCACCGUCUUUGACUGACUUACACUUAUUCUUAUUUAUCCUGUUUGUCUUCUUUGGCUUUUUUUAUCUGUUUUCAUCAUCUUCUUCUUCUGAUUAUAAAACAAUAAAAAUAAGAGCACAUAAAGAAAAGAAAAUAACUAAACUUUUAGAACAAACACGAAAACUCACAAGUCGUGAAUAGAGAGAAACACAACUAUUUAUACAGAAAGAGGUUUAGGUUUAGGCGUUUUGACAUUUUUCGUUAAGAUAAGCAUCAAUAUUAUAGUAUAUUCUUUUUAGAUUAUCAUACACACAUUUUCCUUUUUUAAAUAAGUCUAUAAACAUAGAUACGGUUUUAUCUUUUCAUUUAUCAAAGAUUUAACUACAUAUGAUGAGGAAAAUUCCAUUUUCAAAUAAAAAUUUCAUUUUUAAUCGUGCAAAAUGUUUUUUAUUAAUUAAAAACUAUACUAUGAAAGAAAGAAAACAGAUAUUAGAUACCAGCUUAGAGGUUGCAAACAUAUUUUAUAUGAACAUAGAAACACAGUUCUUAAUUCUUUCUAAACCUACAUAUAUCUAAGCUUUUUACUCUAAAUUUUCCCAUGUUUGUCCAUGAUAAGAAUUUUCAGUCUAUAUAUCUCUCUGGCCUCUCCAUUAUAUAUCUUUCCGCUUUCUUUGGCCUCUCCCUUACAGUUCUUUUCGCUUCAGUGUAUAGUCUGAUGAUGGCAAAUACCCAUCGAAUCAUAAGCAUAAAAAUCUCGAAAACCAUUUCUUCAGGGAAGUAAUAUCACUACUCUGACUCCAAAAAUCUUAAGAACAAAAUAUUUACUAUAUGCGAGAUCUCCAAAGUCUUCAAAAACCUGAAAUAGGUAAGGCAAGAUAAUUGUCAAUAAACCAAGUCAUAAAAAUAAGUAACUUUUGAUUAGAGAGAAUGGAUUAAAACGAACUGAACCUGGAAAUAACAAACCAAGAAGGUUGUCUGGUUUAGUUAACGAAAUGACCAAAAACUUCUAAUACACAUUUGCUUCCCUGAACGUUCAAGACCAUCAACCAAAUCUUCUUAGGAAGAAAUAUAAAGAGAAAGAAACAAAAUUUAAAAUACGCUUCAAGCGUCUACUUCUCAAUGAAACAUAGAUAGAUAAAAAACCAAGCUUAUAAACUAAAACACUAACCCAAGACAGUAACUUGUUCUCACCAUCUAGCAUCCCUACCUCUGCAAGCAUAUCUUCUUUGCUUUUAUAAAAUCAGAGAGGCACGUCAUAAACUGUGAGAAAAUGUCAAAGGAAAAAUACACCUUCAGCAGUUAAAACAUGAGCCGGUACUCGAGUCUCUCAGAAUACAAAGUUGGACUGUAUAUGUAUAAUAUGAAUAAGCUAGAAUGAACUUACCAUACACUAUAUAUCCAUUCUCUUCGUGAUCAAACCCAAAGAAAGACGUCAAAAUAGAUUGCAACUUUACUUUGUUAAAAAGAUCGAUCCAUGAAACAUAAGAGACACUAACUCUAGUCUAUAACCUGAUAUAUUUUUGAAACUAUACAUGGUAAUCACAUUCAUAACAAAAUAACAAAGCUAUACAAACGUUAUUUAUAUAUGUUGAUGUAAAAUAAGUUUAAAAAAUCAAAUACCACUACUUCACUACCUUUGAUAAAAAAACUACUUCACUACUGUCAUCAGCCUCAUCCUCAUUAUUUACCCCGACAUUGACUUGUAAUAGCUCUAGUCUAAGUGCGCUGCCGAGAGAAAAGAACUACAAAACAUUCCUUGGGGAUUAUUACAUUAUCUGUAGAGACCAAUGAGAGUUGAUAUUUAGACCAUGCUUAUAUCAAUAGUUAAAUACACUAUCUGCGUACCUCUUUUUUUUUUUUGAGAAAACUACUCGUGUACCUUGAUAUAAAACAUUUUCUUUACCUCUCUCAUUAGCCAAAUCGCUAUUCCUCGAGCCUGAGUGUUUCAACUAUUACCACAUUAGUAUUCGGCCCCCAAGCCUCUCUUGUUCUUCCUGUGCACAACCUCCUUUGCUGCAGCAACAAACCGGAAUCAUAAACAAUAAUAAAGAUCAUAUACAGUCAAUAUCAAUCAACUGUGAAUAACGGUUUCAGUGCACCUAUAUAUUACUUCAAAUAUUGUGCUGAAUAAUUGCAUUAGUUGCAUUCAAAUUCUUCAAAUUACACAACAUUCAACAGACAAAUCAUCUAAUCAACAACUUACUCCCUUGCAAAAUUAUUUAAGCUCCUUAAUAAUGCAAAAAUGCUCAGCUCUUGGUCUAUCUAAGCAUGGCAAAAGGUUAGUAUCUACACCUGUCUAACUAUAAGCAUGCCCAAUAUUAGUGUAGUCUCCAAUUCCUUUUUCAAUGAUAUUAGUGACAUUGAUUCUUCCUCUCCUAAGGAGAGUAUGUGAGCUUGUUCUCACCUCUAGUGCAAAUAAUUUCACAAAAUCAUCAAAACGAUCAAGAAAUACUUUCAGUUUUUUUUUUUUUAAAUGAGAAAGAAAUUCUCAGAUAUGGAUAUGCGCAUCCAUAGAGAAAAGAAACCAAACCUGCUAUCUUUUCAAUUUCCGGUUAGGCUAUCUACGAUAGAUGAUUAAAUAUUCACAUUCAUCAAUCGCCUGGUCAAAUAAAAUAGUAAAUUGAUGAUUAAAGAUUUUUUUAAUUAAGCUACAGUAUAACUUAAGCAAUAUAAUUUGAUUUAAGACCAUAAAAAGCUGAAAGAAAAUCAUUGCAAAAAAAUAUUCAAUCAAUUGAAAUAUAUCUUUAGUUUCUUAAAAUCAAGAACACUUACCAAUAAAUUAUUAUGGACGAAGGCUCUAGGUUCAAAAGAAAGCACUUCAGUCCAUUGAAAUUCUCUCUCUUUUUCCAUAGAGAAAAAAAAACAAUUUAAAUCAAAAGUCUAGAAUCCAAGACAAUUCAUGAAACUCACAGUAGCAGCUAUAAAAUAAGGGAAAUCGACCAGAGAAGACUCAAAGACUCAUCUUUGUUGAUUGGAAGAGAAUUUAACCCUAGAAACCCAACAUCAUUCACUGAUCCACAAAAAAAAAUCGUUAACUUGAAAAGCAUUUACUAAUUUGCAAAUAACAAACAGUAUAUAUCUCAAGAAAAAAUAGACAAAUAAUAGUCAAAGAAGUGAAUCAAUUCAAAGACAACAUAACAGAUCAUACCAAGAAGAGAUUUUGAUGAUUGUGUCAUCGUCGCGCCUUGAUUAGUAAACAAACAGACGCAUGAUACAAUGUUAAUGUCGUUUGAACGUGUGUGCUGUUUCAAAUACGUCCGAAUAAUUCACUGAGAGAUCAGAUAGAACACAAUCUGAAAACCAUAAAGUAAAUAGAUAAUUUAACAACAAAGGAAAAAAAGUUCGACCAUAAAAAACCAACGUGUUAAACUAUUAAACUAAUGUGUCUUAGUUAAAUAGAAAGAGCACAAAUCAAAACAAAACAAACCUAAAUGAGUUAAAAGAACUACAAAGUCGUCAACCUUCUGAAAGUUUCUUCAUCAUGACCGAUUAUAUCCACUCGCCUAUAAACCAUGAUUGUUGUGACCUAAGAAAAUAGAUAAUGACAAAAUCAGAACUACAAAAUCAGCACCAUUACAUUGAACAUAUCAAUCAGAAACAUAUAAUACUAUAGAGAUACAGAUAUGCACAAACUAUAAAUAAACAUAAAUAAAAGAAACUCUAUUAAACCCUUGAACAAAAUCAAAAUCUAACAUGUAAUGAAUAUGAGAAAAAGAGCAAAGUAUUUGUUCUAGGGUUUAUGGGGUUUUCCUUUUUUUUUUAUAAUAAUUCUACUGCAUGUUUUUAUAUGAUCUAAAAAACAAUUAGAAGAAAAACGAAGCGAGAGGAAAUAUAAAUAGACAAACUAAGAGUUUUAAGGCAAUACCUCAACUCCCGACCUUCAUUAAUAACCCUUAAGAACCAUAUAAAAAAAGAAUUUGACUAAAUUGUAGAACAAAAACCAAAAAAAAAAAACUUAUACGUAUAUAAUGAAUAUGAAAGGAAUAUUGAGUUACAUGACAUACAGAUUUUAAAUCUUAAAAAAAAGGCAAAGAAAAAUAAUCAGAUUGUCAAAGAAAAUGAAUUCAAUCGUAGUAGUUAGAUUAGAAAAAAUAAAAGAUAGACAAUUCAACGGCAUGACAUACCUUUUUUAUUGGUGAUAUCAACGAAUACAAACAGAGUUAAGAUUGAUUUUUAUAGUAUGAGUGAUUGAUCUAAUUCUUCUGGUUUCUCCUCAUCGUCAAUUUCUUUUAUGUGGUCUUCCUCAUCUUCUACCUUUUUCUUAGAACCCUUGAAAAAGAAAAGAACACGUAACAAAAAAUCGACUAAGAACAAAUACAGAAAUAUCAAAGGGAUGCGCAAGUCCACACCGAAUUAUUAUUUGCUGCCAAUCGUUGCUCUCUUCUAUUUAUUUAAUCCAUAUAUCUUACAAAAAUCAAAAUCAAACGAUCAGUUUCAUAGCAAAUUCAACAAAAACAAAGAUAUAAUUACAAAUAAAUCAAUAUUGAAACCCUAGAGCUAACAACAAUACACAGAGCACAAAACAAACAAAAAGAUAUGUUGAUGCGGUGAUGACCAAUAACGAAACCAUAGAGCAAACAACAAUACACAGAACACAUAAUAAUCAAAAGAGCAAAAAAAAUAUUAAGAAAAGCAAUCAAGAAUAUUGAUAGAGAUUAAACCUAAAGAAAAAGCACUAAACAGAAAUCAAACGAAUGAGGUCGAUAUCAUGAAACAAAUCAUAUAUCAAAAACAUAAAAAAAAAAACUUGUGACUAAUAUGAGAGGAGACACGAAGUAUUUAUAGAAAAAGUGAUGUUGGGUUAACGCUUUUUUUUAUUAUUAUAAUUUUUGAUAUCAUCAAAUAUUCUAUUUUGAUUAUUCAAUUGUUAUGUAAUCCAAAAAACCUAGAUACGAUUUUAUUUUUUUCUUAAUCAAAUAUUUGAUUAUUGACGUUGAGGAAAACUUCCCUUUUGAAAAGUGAUAAAUUAAGGUAUGUCACGUUCAUGUUUUAUAAUUGUAUAAUAAUUACAUAAAAUAAACAAAUAUAAAGUUUCCAAUUUUCAAUCACGAGAUUUUUUUUUUUUACAAACACAGAUUAAUUAAAUAAGAGAAAUAGGAAAAACAAAAUUGUUUAGAAAGACACGGGUUCAAACUUGUUACAUGUAGGUUUAGAAAGUUGGGCCACCAACCAACAUAACUAACAUGUUUUUUGUUAGAAAUCCAUUAGCCACUAAAUAUAUAUUAUACUGUCAAUCCGAAAAAUAGGCAUGAGCCAAUCAGAAUAAAGUAUUUUUAUUAAUAGCAUAAGUGUAAAUACUGUCAAUCCGAAAAAUAGGCUUGAGCCAAUCAGAAUAGAGUAUUUUCAUUAAUGGCAUAAGUGUAAUUUAACAUUUUCCACCAAAAAGACAUACAAAUAAUAAUAAUUAAUUAAUAACAGCCAAUCAAAUUAUAACAAACACUGACCAAUCAGAAUGCUCGAAAUUCAUUAAUCAAAACGACGUCCCAAUCUGUGCAUUGAACCACAGCUCAAGUUACUUUGCAAAUAAUAAUAUGAUUAAUUAAAAAAACGAUUUCUAUUUCCAUUUCGAUCUUCUUCGAAAACCUUCAUCCAAUCAUAUAGCAAUCUAGAUAUCCACCGUUGCCGGAAUCUUCGAAGUGUAAUCGCCAGAAAUUGAUCGUUGACGGAGUCGUAUCUUCAAGAGGUAAUCAAUUUUCCUUUUGUUUGUGUGAGUUUUUUGGGUACCGAACCCUAGAUUGGGUAUCUUCUUCACUGGAACAAAAUUAAGAUGUUUGCGCAGAAGAAAUUAACACUUCCUCCAGGGCGUAUAAGGUUGUCAUUCUCGAUGAAGCUGAUAGGUUCGUGCUGCUAAGUUAGUGGCUUUUACCUGAAUCUUUAUCCUUUUCUCUGCAUUUUCACCGAGUUGAAUUUGCCACUUUCUUUUUGAGUUAUGCGAAUCAAGUGUUUCUGAUUCAUUGUGCUGUUUUUUCUGUUUUGGUUUGCAAAAUUAGCAUGACAUCUGGAGCAUAAUAAGCAUUGAUGAGACGAUUUAGAUCUAUUCAAACUCUACUCUGUUUUUUCUGUUUUGGUUUGCAAAAUUAGCAUGACAUCUAGUGUUUCUGAUUCAUUGUGCUGUUUUUUUUUUUUUUUUUUUUACGUGUGUUUGCGAAGUUGCUUUUGCCCCAAUCACAUAUUUUAUCUCUCAUAAUUUGGUGUUGACAAAGAAAAAACCUCUCUUGAUUUGGGUUUUUUUUAAUAUAUAAGAUUCCAAGUUUAUUUUUUAACGUGUGAAUCUUUGCAAUGUUCGUUUUUUCAAUCUGGAAUUCUGGAUGUUGUAUUUAGAUUUAGCAUUUAGAUGCAACUUCCAGAUACAUCAUUUAGAUAAAUUUUUGUAUUUGAUAUUUUGUCUUGAUACAAUAUUUUUAUUAGUGAACUGAUAAAAAAAAUUCGAUGCAAAAUUUAAAAAUAAAUAAAAUAAAGAUAUAAGUGAAAUAUCAGAAUAUAAAGGAAACCACCCAUAUUUCUCUUUUUCUUUAUAAAUGUCAAUAAAAAUUAAAUAUAAUAUGAAAUGUAUGUACAUAUUUUCUCAAUUUUAUUUAUUUAUUUGAUCCAUUUAAUACAGAUAAUCCGAAGUUGAGAGAAACUUCUUCAGAUUUCAAAAAGGGAUUAUCCCAUGAAUGGUUAACAGUGUAAACCAGGAUAUAAAAAUAUAAAAUGAGUCAAUAAAAUAAAACAUAAAUCCAAUUUCUUUAAAAAAAUCUUAAAAAAAAAAUGCCGACCGGUCUAUAAAACUAAACCAUUUGAUACAGAUUAAUAGAGUUUGAUUAUUACCGCAAUUAAGAGUACUUCUAAAGUCCACUUCUUCCCCACACUACGAGAGAGAGGGAAAAUGUAAAAACUACCAUUAAACCAGCCCAUGCGAGACUUACUAUAUCCAUGUGAAUUCUGUCCCCUAUUUCUAUGAAUAUGAAGAAACUAUUCCAUUAUUGUUCACCAAUAAUAGUGAACUCACUAGUGUAGAGUCAAAACAAGGGAAAGGUAUUUGGUCACCAUUGAUGAACUACAUCAAAAAAAAUCCACUUAUCUUAUUAUCUUAUAAUGAGUUAUUCUUAAUUAUAGAAUUUUUAGUAGAAUCGACAAGAUGUAAACACAAGUAAACGAACACUUUUCGAAGUAUCCAAGGAAUCUGCCUCACAUGUAGAAAUAAUAAGCCUUUUUCUUUCUUUUAUCCUUUUUUGUUUUUGAAAGUUAAACGAAAGGCAAUUCUUCAUCUAAUCUACUAGUGAUUGAAUGUCUGCGCAUUCCGAGACUUUGAUGAGUCAGGAUCAAAAGUGUCUUUAAAGAACUAUUAAUUUAAUUUCAUCUCUGGCUAUGCAAUCUAAUUGAAAAAUCAGACGGAUUUCCCUACACUACUAUAGGUUUUCCUUUAAUCUGAUAGGCAAAACUUUAGAUUCGAGAAUAUAACCUCGAGAGCCAGGGGCUUAGAAUAACGAAAAGAAAGUAUCAAGAGUCUUUUCCUACGUUUGUUAUAGUUAUAACAUAGGAUUGCAAGUCUGUUGUUGAGGCGGCACCCGAAUUUGAACUAGGAAAAAAGGAUUUGCAGUCCCCCGCCUUACCACUCGGCCAUGCGGCCAAAACGAUAGAAACUAGAAUUUGCUUCGGCAUCAAUAUAUUUUUAGGUCUGUCUCCUUUUUAACUUUUUUUGUUAUUUAUUCUUACUUUGUGUAUCCCUCAUUCUGUUUGCGUUUAUAACUCCGCUUACUGUUCUAAUUUUUAUGCAUUAUACCUGUUUUGUUUAGCUUAUUUUGGCUUCUCUUCUUUCUUAAAGGUCAAGUUGUACGGUGGUCAACUUCUAAAGUUUCGUUCAUCUCCUUCAUUAUCAUGCGAUGGAAUCUGCGGGUUAAUAUGUUUAUAUUGGGUCUAAUAUUUUGAUUGUGUUAAAUGUUGUUUUGUGUUAUCAUAUAGGAGGGAGGCGACGACUAAGAGUUGAAGUUUGUAAAGAUGAUGGCUUCAAAGAUCUUUAUGACUUUUGUCUAUUUUUAAAACUGAUCUCGAAGGAGCUGUAAAGAAUGUCAUUAAAAAUAGCUAGGAUUAAGCUUUAAACAUCUCCACGAAGAUUUAUGAUUUAUGACUAUACAUAAACACACAAUAAUGAAUGACUUCAGUAUACAAUUUGCAAUUAUACAAGAAAGCAUUUAUUCAAUUGUUUAUUGUAGGAGGUGAUACAUAAGAAAGCAUCGAUCCACGUGGUGUUUUGACCACGGGUUUGAAUUUGAAACUAAGAUAUUUAACCUAGAACAAUCUCUUUGUGCAUACAUAAUCCUUAACAUGAGAAUGAACUACGUUAGGUUGUGCUGUGGCUUGCUUUGAUGGUUAUGGCGAAACCCCGUCUUCAAAAUGUUGUUGUUUGAUGGUUCUCACGAGGACCUUUUUCAAAAUAUCGUCUUUGAUAUUUUGGAGUGUAAUAGAUCAAUUUUCUUGAUGGAUUAUCUCUCUUUGCCUCUCAAACGAUUUACAAGCAUAAGUUUGGGAGGUUUUCUUUGUUAACUCUGUUCUCUAUAAUCUGAGAUUACAUAUAUAUAAAUAUUGUUCCUUUUUAUAUCUUUCUAGGAUGCAAGGUCACUCAUUGUAUAUCGAGGGAUAUGCAAUGGCAUUUAUAACCAUGGGAGAUGUGGCGUCAAGUGAUAAGUCUUCCAAGAGAAUAAGAAGAAGAAGUCAAAGCUAAAUGUUUCCGCCAAUCGACCCAUGAUGAUUUUAUCCAAAAAAAAAAAAACAUGUAGAAGAAGCCAUUGGCUCAUUGGAGAAAUGACAUAAAUCCACUUUACACUGUUGAAGGAAAAACAAAAGUUACAAUGACGAUGAUGAUUCAUGUAGUAAGGAAACUAAAGGGAAUGGUAGAUUGGAUGCCUUCCAAAGAUUGAGGUCAAGAAGAAUCACUUGGGUUUUUUUGUUUUUUGUUAUCUUCAACUGGGUAUUUCUACUUGUGUCUCAAGGAAACAAGGUCUUCUGGUUGUGUGCGAGGUUUGGUUGAACGAUGGCGUCGAGAAGCAAGAAGUUCAGCACUCGAAUUAUGUGAUGGGAAAAGAUACAAACCAAUUAAGUAUUUGAAAUAAUUAUAAUUUUUAAAAAGUCUCUUAUUAUUAUAAAUUGUAUUUGAUCGAAUGAUGGGCAAAGAUACAAACCAAUUAAGUAUCUGAAACAAAAAUAUCCUUAUUAACAUAAGUAAACAUUACAACAACUCUGUUUUAGAAUAAAAACCUAAAACAAAACAUAGCCUUUCUUCUUAAGAAACGUAAAAGUACAUUAACUCUAUACUAAUAACAACAAACUAGAAAUUAACCCGCACAUUGUGUGAGAUAAUAUUUUUUAAAAUUUUCUUUAAAUUUAAAUUGUAUUUUUUGGUUAAAUUAAAAUUGGUGGCAAAAAUCUUAACAAAAAAAUAUAAAUAAAUAAAAUUAGUGGCAAUUAGAUAAUUAACAAUAUAUAUAUAUAUAUAUAUAAAUAUCACAUAUUUACUUGUAUAGAUAUCUAUCGAAUAAGACUUUGAGCUAAUUUUUUAUGCAGUUUAAUUAUUAGUAGUUUUUAAAUAUAAAAAUGAUAUGAUGCUAAUGUAUAUAUAUAUACUUAUAUACAUACCAACAUUGAUUAGAAUAUAUAUAUAUCCAAAAAACUAAAAUUUAAUUGUGAAUAUUUUAUUAAAGGUCAAACUAUCAUUUUAGUUAAUAAAUUCUAUAAUAUGUAUUAAUAAUGAUGAUAUAUAGCAUUGUCAAAGUUGACAAGCCCGUCUACUUAAUCAAUUUUGCAAUUUACUAAAAUAUAUUUUCAACCAAUCCGUUAAAAAAUAUAAUUUAAUUUUUGAAAAUAUAUUUCAGUUUUUUUAUAAAAAUAAUUGAACUGAUUUUCGAAAAUAAAACUAAUUAAUUAUGAAAAUACAAAUGAAAAAUAUUACAAAACUUUAAAUAGAUUUUUCAUAUAUAUAGAUUCAUUAUUAUUUAAAAUAAUAAAAUAUAUUUUAAUAUUUUAAUAAUAAAAGAAACUAAAUACACUUUUGAUUUAUAUUCAUGUAUAUUCAACACAAAUUUGUGAGCUCUUAAUUCUACUAUCUCGUAAGAAAAAAAUAUUUAGUUGAAUUUUUUAUAUUUAUAAAAUUUAUUUAUGUAAUAUAUUUUAAUUAAAAUUUUAUUUAUAUAAUAUCUUAUAAAUAAAUAUUUAUUUAUGUAAAAUAUUCUGUAAUAUCUUACAAAUAAAGGUUUAUUUAUAUAAAUGUCUAUUCAAAUAAUAAUAUAGAAAUAAUAGAAAGAUGAAUAUAAUGUUUAAAAACAUAUUAAAAAACAUACAACAACAUACACAAUCAUUAAUAUGUAAAAAAACACAACAAAUAUCCAAAGAAAAACCAAAUGUAAUAAAAAAAACAAAUGAUGCACAAAGAUAAAUGCAAAUGUUUGUAAAAAUUACAUAAUCAAACGUUUGUAAUCCGCGCCUGCUAAAUUAUAAAAUCAUGUUUUUCUUUCAAAACUAUAAAACUGUAAUUUUCGCCAAAAAGUAUAAAACUUAUAUGUCACAUUAUUCCACAAAAAUGUGAAAUUUUUUUAUUUAUUGUACAACUAAAUUCGAUAAAGAUUUAUUCUCAAAUUAUUUUUAUAGUAGUGCACUGUAAAAGUUAGGAAUAAAAUUCUUUUAAAACAUUAUACAUUACAAUAACCAUAAUGAACAGGGUAGUUAUGAUAGAAAGAGAUACUAGUGGCCUCCUUGGACCAUCUCCAUCCCUGAUACGGGAAAAUGGCCAAAAGCAACCCGAACUAAAUUUGAUGUGCCGAAAAAAAUCCAAACUAAAAUACGGUGCCAAAAUCUAUCCGAGUUCCAAAAUAAUUUAAAUUCCCUAUCCAAACUCUAAUAUAAGUAUCAAAAUCUACCUUGACUAACUUUGAUGUUAGUCAACUGUUAAAAAACGCUGACGUGGCAUGACAGAAUAUGACUUGGCAUGACAAGUUGUCACCUUACUAAAACAAAGUCGUUUUAGUAAAACAAAAAAAAAUAAAAGCUUUCCUCUUUCUUGGAUUCGAAUCCAAGACACUAUAUACCAUAUCCAAGCAUAUAGACCAAUUGAACCACGAGACAUUAUUGCCAUGUUUUACAGAUACAUUUAUAUAUUAUUAAUACGCCAGUUUAAAUUCGAAAAAAACAAAACGACAACCACCUGAUGUGAAUUGCACCACCGGAAUCCUUUCCAUCUGCUUCGUCUUUGUCCGCGACCGAGAUGAUCUCGCUCUCGUCAAAUAAUCGACGGCGAGAGAUUCCAAAAUCUGAACCUCCACGAAAUGAACGACGCAAGCGCAUGCCAUCACCGACCGCUCGCUUCACGUCUUUGACGAGUACCGGAUCCGGCAUCUGACGGAUGAAUUGAAUACAUUGUUGUUUUGUUUUUUUUUUCCGAAUUUAGACAGGAAUUGAAUACGUCGUUGUUUUUUUUUCGAAUUUAAACUGUCUAACCCUUAUUCGAUUUUGGGAGUUUAAUUUACCACUAAUUAAAUGUCUUUUUUUGUUUUUUGUUUUCGAAUUUAGACAGGCGUAUUAAUAAUAUAUAAAUGUAUCUGUAAACCAUAACAAUAAUGUCUUGUGGUUCAAAUGGUCUGCGUGCUUGGAUAUGGUAUACAAUGUCUUGGGUUCGAAUCUAGGAAAUAGGAAAUUUUUUAUUUUUUUUUGUUUUAUUAAAACGACGUCGUUUUACUAAGGUGACAACGUGUCAUGCCAAGUCAUAUUCCGUCAUGCCACGUCAGCAUUUUUUUAUCAGUUGACUAACAUCAAAGUUAGUCAAGGUAGGUUUUGACACUUAUAUUAGAAUUUGGAUAGGAGAUUUGAAUUAUUUUGGAAUUCGGAUAGUUUUUGGCACUAUAUUUUAGUACAGAUUUUUUUCAACACAUCAAAUUUAGUUCGGGUUGGUUUUGGCUCUUUUCCCUCCCUGAUACUGCAUGAGGUUCUUACCAUUAAAGUGACAUUUAAAAUAAAUCAAAAAGCUUAAAAACCUUAAGAACUUAGAGUUCUAAAAUAAGAACCUCUCUUUAAGAGUUCUUAAAAACACUUGUUCUUGUUUUAUUGGUUUAUGUUUUAAAAAUUUUUUCUGGACCAAUGAUAGAUGGAAAUUAAAGAAAAAGACAGAAAAUUAGAGGGAAAGACAAAAAAUAAGAGAGAAAAAGAGGCAGAAAAUUUAUUAUUCUAAAAUUGGUAAGAACCCGAUAAUGGGUUUACCAAUGGAAAUGCUCUUAGGAUACUACUACUACUGUGUCUAAUGCAUUAUGUUCAUUUAAGAACAAGAAAUUGAUAUUUUUUUCAUUUAUUAGUCAAAUUUUAUUCAAAUUAAUUAUUUCGACUAACCGUUUUAACGUAAAUUAUAAGAAAAAAAGAGUAGGAAUUAGAAUGAAAAGUGCAAUAGCAAUAAAUGCAAGAAUAUUUACUUCCAUAAUUUAAUCAUUUAAUAUUAACUUUUUUCUUUGGAAUAUCUCGGGUUUUAAUCCCAUAGAGAUUAGAAAUCUUUCGCUUGUAAACUCACUCAGAUGAAUUAGAUUUAGAUGAUAUCGAAUGAAAGAAAUAUCAUGAAUAGCAAUAUGGGAGCUAUAAAAUCGAUUAAUCUUCAAUAAUUUAAUAGUAUAACAUAGGAAGAUCUUUUAUCCACACCGAAUACAUAAUGAGAUUCCUGAUUCAAUCAAAAAAUAUUUAUUUAGGAUUCUUUUUCCCCUACUUUCGUUUCUACUCCUCAGUACUUUACUUUUCUUGUACAAUUAUCGGAUGAAGUAUAAUAAAAAAAAUUUUCUACUUUGAUUGUUUACAAAAAGAGUUUCUAAAAAACCAACAAUAGAAAUCAAAUAGAGAAAACAAUUACGAAGUUUAGUUUGAAAUUUAAAUUUUUUAAGGGUCUAUCAUCUUUUUGGAACACAAAGAAAGAAGAAUGUGAUAAAGAUGAGUCCCAGUAAAAAAACGAAAACUAUUCCAAAAAAUUAGCUGUUUAAAUUUUCUUACAAGUUUUUUCUUCGAUAUCGACUCCAAUAUUCAAAACAAGCAUAUUAGGGAAGACAAAUUUUCUUUAUAGUUUUUAACUAUCCUCUUUCCUUGGUUGGAUCAACCAAUUUUCAAUUCCUUGACUUGAUAAUAUAUAUAGGUACUCUUGACAAACAUAUUAUACGCUAUCCUAUUUCAUUUUCCUACACGAUUUAAUGGGCAAUUAAUUGACAAAAAAUAGAAACCUCGUAUAGUAUCUCGUUCUGGAAGUGUUGAGAUGCUCUUAAUCUCAAUAAUUAUAAUUAUACUAAUUUACAUAUGUCUCUCUACCAUCAAAUUGGUGCUAGUUAAAAUAAUGGAAAUACCCCUUUCUAUUGCUUGAUAUAAAAAAAAAAACUGAAACAAAAAGAUAAAUGAAACUAUUUUGAUCCUCUUGCCCAGAAACAAAAAAGGAAAUUUAUGUCUUUUUUUUUAUUAAAUCCGCCGGGAAUGACGGGGCUUGAAUCCGCAGCUUCCACCUUGACAGGUCGGUGCUCUAACCAAUUGAACUACAAUCCCAUGGAAAUCAGUGGAUAGCUUCCAUAUUCUUUCUUAUGAUUUCAUUGUAAUCAUUACAAUUUUAGAUUCAAAUUAGUAUUUUGUAAAAAAGAAAUUCACAAGUGAUAUAUUGAUAUCUGUAUGGAUAUCACUUUUGUGAUAGCAAAACGGAUUACUGGUAAUCCUUGCAUGAUUAUCAAAUCAAUUGCUGAUCUGUUUUAUAUUGUAACAAAGUAGAUUAUUUUCUCGACUCUGUUCAUUAAAUUUUAUAUUUAAAGGAUCCAUAUCGUGAUCCUUAGCAAGAUCAGAAUAUUUGUAUGGAACCAAAAAUAACGAGAUACGAUAAAUAAAUAAAAAGUAAAGUCAAAACAUACCCCACAAUUUGACAUUUUUCUUACCCUUUUCUGUCAUUUAUGCAAAACAAAAGAGUUUAUCUAGACAGAGAAUUAUUGGGCCGAGCUGGAUUUGAACCAGCAUAGACAUAUUACCAAUGAAUUUACAGUCAGUUCCCAUUAACCGCUCGAGCAUCGACCCAGGAAGAAUAUAUUCUAACUUUAUGGAUAAUCUAUGAUCAGCUUCCUUUCGUAGUACCCUACCCCUAGGGGAAGUCAAAUCUCCGAUGCCUCCUUGAAAGAGUGAUGUCCUGAACCACUAAACGAUGGGGGCAUACUUGCUCAACCGCCAUCAUACUAUGAUCAUAGUAUGAUCAGUUUUUUUUUUAAAUUGUCAAUAUAAUCAAAUGAUAUGACUAGCUUAUAUAUAAAGUUUUUCUUUUUCUGUAGCAUUUUUAUUUAUUUUACAUUUGGAUUCAAAUUCUAAUUUGAAAUUGCGACAUUAUAAUGCAAUCACAUUCUCUGGUCCAAUUGCUGUUUUGGUUUUGUCUUCCUAAUUUAUCCACUAGGUCAAUCGGGUUGGUUCUUUGCGCCUAGAUUUGGUGUAGCAGCUAUAUUUCGAUUCAUCAUAUUUUUCCAAGGGUUUCAUAAUUGGACAUUGAACUCAUUUCAUAUGAUGGGAGUCGCCGGUGUACUGGGCGCGGCUCUACUAUGUGCUAUUCAUGGUGCUACUGUAGAAAAUACUUUAUUUGAAGAUGGUGAUGGUGCAAAUACAUUCCGUGCUUUUAACCAAACUCAAGCCGAAGAAAGUUAUUCAAUGGUCACCGGUAACCGCUUAUGGUCACAAAUAUUUGGGGUUGCUUUUUCAUGGAUGAAUUCUCUUGGAUUAGUCGGUCUAGCUUUGAACCUACAUGCCUAUGACUUCGUUUCCCAGGAUAUCCGUGCAGCGGAAGAUCCAGAAUUUGAGACUUUCUAUACUAAAAAUACUCUUUUAAACGAAGGUAUUCAUGCUUGGAUGGCGGCUCAAGAUCAGCCUGAUGAAAACCUUCUAUUCCCUGAGGAGGUUCUACCACGUGGAAACGCUCUUUAGUGGAACUUUAGCUUUAGCUGGUCGUAAUCAAGAAACCACCGGCUUCGCUUGGUGGGCCGGGAAUGCCCGACUUAUCAAUUUAUCUGGUAAACUAUUGGGAGCUCAUGUAGCCCAUGCCGGAUUAUAAUCGUAUUCUGGGCCAGAGCAAUGAACUUAUUUGAAGUGGCUCAUUUUGUACAUGAAAAGCCAUGUAUGAACAAGGAAUAAUUUUACUUCCCCACCUAGCCACUUUAGGCUGGGGGUAGGUCCAGGGGGAGAAGUUAUAGACACCUUUCCGUACUUUGUAUCUGGAGUACUUCACUUAAUUUCUUCUGCAGUUUUGGGCUUUGGCGGUAUUUAUCAUGCAUUUCUGGGACCCGAAACUCUUGAAUAGUCUUUUCCAUUUUUUAGUUAUGUAUGGAAAGAUAGAAAUAAAAUGACCACCAUUUUGGGUAUUCACUUAAUUUUGUUAGGUGUAGGUGCUUUUCUUCUAGUAUUCAAGGAUCUCUAUUUUGGGGGCGCAUAUGAUACCUGGGCUCCAGGAGGGGGGAUGUAAGAAAUAUUACAAAUUUGACUCUUAGCCCAAGUGUUAUAUUUGGUUAUUUACUAAAAUCUCCCUUUGGGGGAGAAGGAUAGAUUGUUAGUGUGGACGAUUUGGAAGAUAUAAUUGGAGGGCAUCUAUGAUUAGGUUCCAUUUGUUUAUUUGGUGGAAUCUGGCAUAUCUUAACCAAACCUUUUGCCUGGACUUGCUGCGCACUUGUAUGGUCUGGGGAGGCUUACUUGUCUUAUAGUUUAGCUGCUUUAUCUGUUUGUGGUUUCAUUGCUUGUUGUUUUGUCGUGUUUACUAAUACUGCUUACCCUAGUAAGUUUUACGGACCUACAGGGCCAGAAGCUUCUCAAGAUUUACUUUUCUAGUUAGAGACCAACGCCUUGGAGCUAAAGUGGAAUCUGCUCAAGGACGUACAUGUUUAGGUAAAUACUUAAUGCAUUCCCCAACUGGAGAAGUUAUUUUUGGAGGAGAAACAAUGCAUUUUUGGGAUCUGCGUGCUCCCUGGUUAGAACCUUUAAGGGGUCCUAACGGUUUGGACUUGAGUAGGUUGAAAAAAGAUAUACAACCUUGGCAAGAACGACAUUCUGCCGAAUAUAUGACUCAUGCUCCCUUAGGUUCCUUAAAUUCUGUAGGGGGCGUAGCUAAUGAGAUCAAUGCAGUCAAUUAUGUCUCUCCGAGAAGUUGGUUAUCGACCUCUCAUUUUGUUCUAGGAUUCUUCAUAUUUGUGGUUCAUUUAUGGCAUGCGGGAAGGGCUUGAGCAGCGGCAGCAGGAUUUGAAAAAGAAUUGAUCGUGAUUUUGAACCCGUUCUUUAUAUGAUUCCUCUUAACUAAAGUAGUAGUUAAAAUAGGAAAGUCAAAAUCGGUUCAUAUUAAAAUUAAAAAGUCUUCUUUGUUUCUUUCAUUUCAAUAUAAUUUUUUUCUGGCUCGGCUCCUCCUUUUUUAUGAUGUUAAGAAGUAACAAAAGUCAAUAAAGAAAAAAUAUAUCAAUCCAACAAAAGGAGGAAAAUUAAAAACUUUAAAUUAUUUUGACGCAUAUUAUUCUAACAAUAGAAAUAAGAACUUUAAAUUAUUCUGAUUCAAGAUCCCCUCUUUUUUUUUUUACUUAUUUACUUGAAUUUUAUACUGUAGUUUUGGAUACCAACUAAACUAAUCACACAAUAUCCCCAGUUUUUAAUCGCUUUUUCUUUUGUACGAUUCAGGAGUAGUAACCGAUUUUAUAAAUCGAAAUACAGGGAGGCCCCCUUCUUCCCCACAAAAAAAUGAUAAUUUAUCUUAUUAUUAAUACAAAAUUUUGUAUAUAGCUAGAACGACCCUCACAAAUUGCGAAUACUAUUUGUUAAGAAUGAAUCGACUUGAAGCUAUAGCAUCACCAUUUGCUGGAAUAAAGAUAUCGCGAGAUCGGGAUUACAAUUUGUAUCGAUUAAAGAAAUGGUUGGAAUUCCAAAGUUACACAAUCUCGAAGAGCCGUAUAUUCUUCUUGCUGAUCGAUAAUAAUUACAAUAUCAGGCAAUCCUGUCAUAUAUUUAAUCCUGCCUAGAUAUGUUUCCAAGCGUGAUAAUUGUCUCUUCAACACAGCUGCAUCCCUUUUCGGAAGACGGUUGAAUCCCUCUGUCUUUUGUUCAGUUCUAAAGUCCCUAAACUUAUGAAAUUUGUUUUUUUGUAGUGGACCAAUUUGUUAACAUACCGCCGAGCCACUUUUUAUUAACAUAAUGACACCGAGCCCUUAUUGCAGCCCACGACACUAAAUCAGCUGCUUUAUUUUUUGUCCCAACAAUUAAGAAUUGUUUUCUCCUACUGGCUGCAUAAAAAAACUAAAUCACAAGCUUCUGAUAAAAAACAAGCAGUUCUAGUCAGAUUUAUAAUAUAAAUACCUUUACGCUUUGCCGAAAUAUAAGGUGCCAUUCUAGGAUUCCAUUUCCUAGUACCAUGUCCAAAAUGAACUCUUGCUCUCAUCAUCUCUUCCAAAUCGAUGUUCUAAUAUCUUUUUGCCAUUUCUUUUCACACUUAAAAUAAAAAAGAGGGAGGGGGGGGGAUACCCCUAACUAAAAUAAUUUUUUUUUCUGAUGGAGCCUUCUCUUGUACCAGGGAUAGCCGUUUAUGCACGAGGCGAGCCAUUAUUUUGUGUUCAUUAUUAUCUUUAUUAGUGUUAACAAAUUACCAACACAAAUGACUACAGCCAAAAAAAAAAAAAAUUCAAUAUAGGGUCUGAGAUUAGAAAUUAUUAAAUUCUAGAAAAGGCAGGUUUUAAAUAGAAGGGUCACAAAAUUCUCCGUGGUAGAAUAAAAUAUCUUUCAUAUCUCCCUCGAAUAAAGAUAAAUCCUUUUUUUCGAAAAGAAUGUUGGUAUGUUGCCGUGAACAAUGCACCAAUCCUUUGUUGAAUCCAGUCCCGGCGGGGAUCACCCCCCCCCUAGAACAACAUUUUCUUAGGCCUUUCAACCAAUUGAUACAACCCCGAAGAGCAGCUUUUGCCAAAACUCGAGUAGUUUCUUGAAAACUUGCUUCGGAUAUAAAACUUUGAAUAUUCAAAGAUGCUCGAGUUAUUCCUAAUAAAAUGGCUCAAUAACAGAUUGCUUCUUCUAAAGCAAGCCUGUUCAUUCUGCUCGAAACAAUCCAAUUAGUUCUCCAGGUAAAAAAACAGUAGACAUGCCCUUUUCUGAAACCAAAAUUGUCCAAGACUACUUAUUGUGGACGUUUCUUCACAACAAUUAUGAUGAUAAUUUUGAUGAAGAAAAUACCAAUUCAAUUUGAAUGGAUUCAAAACAACGUUACUGUAUGGAUCUAGAUUAAAAAUGCUUUCGUUUUCAUCGAUUAAAUAAGAGUUAAUUACUUGAAAAAUCCAUUUGAGGUUAUCAAGUUGCAAAUAUUUAAUUACAGAGAUCUGAUUAUAAGUUAGUAAAGCCAAAAAUGAAUAAAAUUUUGAAAUUUGAAUAGCUGUUCCUAAGGGGCUUGACGAAUUGUUAAUUGUAAUUAGAGGUUUUUUUGAUUGAUUGGUUUAUCACAUUGUUAUAUUUUACAUGAUUAAAUGGACCGAUUCUAAAACAAUUAGAGGAUGAUAAAAUUAACAAAGAUUGGGAUUCCUUAUUUAACAUACGAAUAGUGCCGUGAUUUUUUCUACGUGCUUUUUGAAGAAUGCUAGACUUGAGAGAAGUCGGAUAAAACGGAUUCAGGUGAUUUGCAAAGAUCAAUCCCGAAUCUGGCAGAUUAUUCUUUUUUUUCUUAUAUAUGAAAUAUGGGAUUUCACUAAACCAAUUCUUAUGAUAUCUCGAAUCGAACCCUUUGUACUUACCUCAACAAAGAAAGCACAGACUUUCUCGAGGGGAGAAUUUUUAUUGUCUUGGUCCCAAUUCAAGACUAUACAAGUUAACCAAUUGAAUACUUGUUUCAGAAAUUACUUGAGUUGGUUUGCCAUUUCCAUAAAGGAUAUAGUUGAAAACUCGAAGUUGAAUAUUAUCCUUUUCCCGAAAGGGAUCUUGUGGGAAGAGUGUUGCCAAAUUUAUACUGUCCGCUAUCUCAUAAGUGGCUACAGGCCACACCAAAACAAAAAACUUUUUCUUGGUUGGUGUGAUCCAUUGGACAUAAAUCCAGUUUUUCAAUUUUUUGGAUUCUUUAGAGGUUUUUUCCCCUUCCUGGUGGUAUCAAGAUGCCACUGUAUCGAGAUAUCUUAUCUGUCUUGUCCGGAAAAUGGAUAUCCCCUUAAAAUAUUUCGACUUCAAUCUUUUUUUUUCUUUCCACUCGGAGCAACCCGCCGACUUGGCUUCUUAUAUUUAAAGUGAUUCGUGUAUCGACUCAAAUGAUACUAUAGUUCUGUACCAUUAUGGCAGAGGAUUCAGGUAAAAUAUACACUUUCUCAGGAAUGAAAAAAACGCGAUCCAAUUUCAUUUCAUAUUUUGUCUUAAACUCUUGGACUCCUCUAUACUCAAUCAUAUUCUUUUUUUUGAUGAUUGAGUCUGCCUUUAGAGUCCCAUAUUUAAGAAUUCCGGAACUCCUCCUUCUGUAUCUAGGAUCAUGAAAAAAGCAAAACUACUAUUUCUACGGAAAAUACCAUUUAUGGGUAUUUCAAUCGAGAUACUCGAAUGCGGUAUGAAUUCUUCCUCUUGCUCUUGAUCUUGAAUCGAUUGGAAUGGAAUGAGAAAUCUAUUUCUUCACCUUUUUGCUAAUAAAUCCGAGUUCUCAUGAAAAAUAGCAGAAUAUAUGAAAUUAUAAUGACUAGUACCUACAAUUCCAUUUAAUUUUGAAUAAUCGGGAAUCCCAUAUUUUUUUAUCAGAAAAAUCCAAACUGAAAAUUUUUGGCUCACUUGAUCAUUAUUUACUAACAGGCUAGAGAUAUAUUUUUUUGGCCGGAAAGAAAGGGUGUGUUCAUUUGAUCUUGAUCUUUGUGGAUCGAAAAAAUAAGUAGACUAGAUCCACAUGAACCUCCUGAUAAUAUCCAUAAAUGACUUGUUUUUGGUAAGAGAUGGACAUAACUAUAUGUAAUUUCGGGUGCAUGAGAUACAUCAGUACUCCAGUGCAUUUCGCCCUCUGAGUCAGAAUAUAUAUUUUCUAACCCUCUCUUUAAAAUGAAAAGUGUAUGUUCUCUCAGGAAUCUCAGCAAUCACUGUUCUGAUUCCACAUAUUGAUCAUUUUGAACUAAAAGAAAUUUUUGUGGUGGAAUAAUCACGCUAUGUAUAAUAUCUUUGCUCUCAGUAAUUACAGACAAGUCUAUAUAACAUAGAAAGGCAGGGUGCCCGUGACGUGUACAUGUAGGAUGAACCAAAUCCUCAUUGAAUUUGAUUUUUCCAUUAUAAGGGGCUCGUACAUGUUCGGCAGUACCUCUUGUAAAUACUCCACCAGUAUGAAAAGUUCUUAAUGUUAGUUGAGUCCCCGGUUUGCCAAUAGAUUGACCCGCAAUAAUACCUACAGCUUCCUCCAAUUCAACUAGGUCACCAUGAGUGGGACUCCAACCAUAACACAAUCGACAGAUCCAAGAUGUACUUCGACAAGUAAAGGGAGUUCGAAUAUAUAUGGAUUGUGUUCCAAAGGUUAUGAAUCGAUUGACAAGUCCAAUCCCAAGAUCUUGAUUUCAAAGUAAAUCAAUGAUUUGUCCUUGGGGAUCCGACGCUAAUCCUCUCAUACCUACUAAUUGAUGGAAUUGAGAUGCAUUUCCCCUAGCUUGUAAAAAAGACAUCAUAUAGACUGGAUUGAAAGGGUCCGUCAUACUAAAAUUCGGAUUCAUUUCUUGUUGCAAAUAUUCACUUGUAGCAUACCAUAUCUCGAUAGAUUGGUGUAAUUUUUCUACUGCAUGUACAUUCCCAUCAUGAUGCUGUUUUUCCAAAAUCAAACUUUGUUGUUCAGCAUCUUGGAAAAGCCAGCCUUUAGAAGGUAUCGUUGAAAUAUCAUCAAUUCCUAAUGAAAUAGAUGUAGCAGUGGUUUGCUGGAAACCCAGAGUCUUUACAUAAUAAUAGGAUUGUAAGUUAUUUAGUCGUUAGUUGGAAUAGUACUUAUUUGGUUACAAUAUUAUGUGACGGCCUACAACGAGGAACUGAUGUCCUAUUUAUUGUUUUGUAAAGAUAUAUAAUAACAACUUUUAUUAAAGUUAUAUUAAAUUAACUUGUUUGGCAAUAUGAAUAAUAGUUAUCCCAAAAAUAGAAUAGGCUAAAAUCAAGGAAAUCAUGUUUAGACACAAAAAGUGUUUCUGGUUUAAUAUAAUAGAUUAACACACUAUGAAUCUUUGUUAACGGAGGUUUAAUCUCUUAAAGAGAGUCAUCGUUGACUAUGGGUCAACCUAUGAUCCAUAACAAGUUACAUGAAUUGAAGGUUUAUGUUGGAAAAAUAAUUAAGUUCAAGGUUUAAAGUGGAAAGACAAAAAGUUCGAGGUUUUAGUUGAGAAUGGGUGAAUACUUGAGGAUUUUUUAUGGGAAUUUCCCUUUUUUAUAUUCUUCAAUUAUAUUGGUUACUUAUGCUAUUAGCUCUUCAAUUAUAUAAUUUUUAUUUUAGGCAAAAAUUAACAUUUAAAGUAACAGUCACAGGUUUUACAGUUUUUGUCAACAAUCAGACUUUUAAAUAUAUUUAAAGUAACAAUAACAUUUUAUACAACCAACAUUUCUGCAGCCAAAAGUCUACAGUCACAGUCCUUACCAAUCAGAGCUUAUAUAGCUUAUGGUUCCAAUGAAAAAAUAAAUCAGUUAGAGAAACUUUUAAUUAAACAAAGAAAAUCCUAGUUUGAGCAAAAACAAAAACGAAACUCGGAAGAAAUAUAGUAAUCAGUGGAUGAGGAUGAUACUACCUUGCAAGAAUUUCAGUAUCUCUCUCUCUCUCUCUCUCUCUCUCUCUCUCUCUCUCUCUCCCUCCCACUCUCUUGAAGAGGACAGAAGAGUCUGAUAUAACUUUUCCGAUAGAGAAGAUUGAUGAUAGUGAUGUUUAGAUCGAUGGUAAAUAAGAAGCGGGUGACUGUUCAUUUUUUCAUCCGAAUAAUGCAUCCAGGUUCAACAUAUAAAUGUACUGAUAAAUCCAUAUUUAAGUUAAGUAUUUAAAAAUAAAUUAUAUUGAUUGCGACACCCAGUAGUUAAAAAUAAUUUGAUUUGAUAGAGUUCUCUCAGGCCCGACUCCCUAGACAGAUUUUAACUGCCUUGGUUUAGCCCUGGUUUUGAGUUCAACCACCUGGUAUUUUCCCAAAAUAGAAAUCUUUUGAAUCCAAAACUACCUUUGGUUUUGUGACACCGUGGUUCCACCCCCAGCGUUCAGUCGGAGGGUCCGCAUCCUUGCCGGUAAGCUCUCUGUUCCCCCUGGAAGCCUCUCUCCCUUCCUCUUGGCCACAACUUCUUCAAUGGAUGGGUACACCUUCUGAAGCCUCUCCAAGAAGUAACUUGUUCUAGCUCCUUUGCUCACCCUCUCCAACGCUCAAGAAUCCUGCAACAAACUUCAACAUGGCAAGACGACUCUCGACACAGGAAAAAGGAAAGAGUGUCUACCGCUCACCGUCCCCUCCUCCGCGCAAGAGAAUCAGGGCCCCUGAGAUAGACACAUCAGAUCUGAUAGCGGACAAUGCUCUUACUCUCAUUGGUAGACUGACAAACCCUUCUGAACAGCGGGUCUGGGCCUUGAUCCCGUUCUUAUCCCGCCGGUGGAACCUCCGAGGAAAAUCAAUAGGGUCAGACUUGGGAAAUAACUGUUUCCAGUUUAGGUUCGACUUUGAGGAGGACAUGCAACACGUCUUGGACAACCGACCAUAUCACUUCGCAAACUGGAUGGUCAUCCUGCAAAAAUGGGAACCUGUUAUUUCCCCAAACUUCCCUUCCCAGAUCCCCUUUUGGAUUAGGCUCAAAGGAAUUCUUCUGCAUUACUGGAAAGAAGAACUCAUCUGCCGCAUAGGAAACGAAGCUGGACAUUUACUAAAUUUUGAGUCACCAAAACAACAGCCCGUAUGAAGGUCGAAGUAAAUGGCUUAGAGGCCCUAACCAAAGAAACGAUUGUGGAGUUCGGUGGAUGCAUAGAAUCGGUGGUAACCUUGGACUACGAACGCCUUCAAAACCAUUGCCUCUACUGCAACAAGCUCACCCACCUAAAAGAAAAAUGCCCACUAAAACAUCAACACCGAACCGAACCUUUCAAGGAAGAUAAUGGUGCUAAACUCUCGGAAACAUCUACAAAAAGGAAGGAGGACAGAUCUGAAACUGCUCCUACAAACAGAUACCAACCGUACUACCAAAGACAGGACAGACACGGGAACCCCUAUGGAGAGAGACCUUCAAAGCGAACAACCUCCAAAUCCAGGUCACCUUCAAAGAGGAACGACUACUACUCGGCCUCAUCUCAACCUAGACGAGCCACUCAAAUUCCGGCAGACUCUCACUCUUAUCAACGAAACCGAGGCAUGGCAGGGAGGAGACGAUCUCCCCCCAGCAAUAACACACACAACCUUGGUACAGAGAUCCCUCGUCUGCCUCCACAACCAACCAAUCAAAGGAGACAAAUCCCAAGUCAAGUGUGGAGAGAAAAAAGUGUAAACUCGAGAUAGUCUUACCGUAAUGAACCUAUCCAGUGCGCCCCGGCUCACAAUGAAGUGAAUCAACUCCCAGCUGAAAGAAACCCUGAGAUUGUGAUGUCUACACCACCUCCAAACCGCCGAACUAAUGAACAGAUCAUGGAGGAACUACAAGAAGUGAAAAUCCAAUACAUAAAUUGUGGAGACCCUGUCGAAAGUGCUGCUAGAUAUCAGAGAGUCCUAGAGGGUGAAUCAAAUGGAAUGAUGGCAGAAACGACAAAUAUGAUCAUAGCAGCUGAGGAAAGGAGGGACACUACCUUAACCCGUGACGGCUUCUUCAGGGGUGAACCAUCGAGGAUAAACGAUGUAGUAGGGGACUUGGAAGCGCAUCAGAGCAGCCCCCCACCUCGGAGUCAGGAACCGAUGAAAAAGAAAAGAGGUCGACCUCCAUCUAAGAAGACCCAAGACCAAGCCGUAAAAGGAAAUCAAGACAAGGGCAAUCGAAAGAAAAAGAUCAACCCCACAAGGAUUUCACCUUUGUCUAGAGUGGUCAUAAACAGAACCUCACCUCUCCUGCUUAACCAGAACACUAGAAGAAACGUAACGGCAAACCCUCAGAGAUCUGGUACCUCCACUUCGACCCCAAAUGACGUAGCCAAUGCUCAACCGGAGAGACACCAGAAUGAUCCACCGCGAUGCACCUUUAUUCCUGCUCGCUCAAGGGACACGACGGAUUUUCAGGAUCCGUCAAAUCCUCUUCCUUAGCGAUACUGAGCUGGAACUGUUGUGGUUUGGGGAAUCCCACAACAGUUCACAGAUUGGGGGAGCUACAAAAAAAGUAGAUCCCGAUGUAAUCUUCCUCAUGGAGACAAAAAAUGAAGAGGAAUUUAUACGAAAGAAAAUUGACUUAUCUUCGUUUGAGUCUCAACUCUUUGUCCCACCUCACUCUUCUGGUGGAGGGGACCUAGCUUUGUUCUGGAAACAAACUAUCACCCUGAAAGUGGAAAGCACCUGCAUCAACUUUAUAGUCACGAUUAUCUCUCACAAGAAAAACACCUUCAACGCCACAUUUAUCUACGGAGAACCUACUCAAUCUAAACGAAGAGAGGUGUGGCAAACACUUACGACGAUGAAGAUGAACAGUGAAGAACCAUGGCUUCUGAAUGGAGACUUCAAUGAUAUAGUGGACAAUGAAGAAAAGUCAGGCGGACCUUUAAGAGCUGAAGGCUCUUUCGGAGAGUUUAGAUCGUUCCUAUCACAAAACGAGCUAUAUGAUAUUAGACACGUGGGAAACCAGCUUUCCUGGAGAGGAGUUAGGGGCAAUCACCUGGUCCACUGCCGCCUGGAUCGUUCUCUCUCUAACAACGCAUGGGCAGAACUCUACCCGAUGGGACGAUGCCACUAUCUCCACUUCGAAGGCUCAGACCAUAGACCAUUGGUAACGCUGGUCGAACCCAACCUGAAAAGGAAAGGAGGACUCUUCAGAUAUGAUCGAAUGCUAAAUCACAACCCGGAAAUCACCAAGUUAGUGGAAGAAAUAUGGAAAGAGAACCCGGAGGAAUCAGUUGAACAAAAAAUCACACGAUGCAGAACAGCCAUCUCACGCUGGACUCGUCAACAUCACCAAAAUAGCCAGAAAUCUAUCGAGGAGGGAAAAAGGAGGCUUGAGCAAGCUAUGAUCUCUCCUGUACAUAAUGAAGAAGCCAUCCUCGAAAUCAAUAUGAAGCUAAAAGAGGCUUAUGCGGCGGAAGAGAAUUUCUGGAGGCAAAGAAGCAGACUUAUGUGGUUGACCCUAGGUGAUAAAAAUUCAGGCUAUUUUCAUGCGAUAACACGAGGCAGAAGAACUGUAAACAAGUUCUCUAUCAUCGAGAAUAGUGAAGGACUACCUGUUUUUGAAGAACCUGAGAUUGUAGAAGUCAUCUCUGCAUAUUUUCAAGACUUGUUUCUCACCAAGUCUUCAAGCUGUUCUGAAAUAGUUCAUGAGGCCCUGCAUCCUUGCCUCUCGACCGAGGAAAACGACAAGCUGAUCGCUGAACCCUCUAUGCUGGAAAUCAAAGAAGCUCUAUUCUCGAUCCACCCAGAUAAAGCACCGGGCCCAGACGGCUUCUCUGCUGGGUUAUUUCAAGCAAAUUGGACAACAAUGAGCACAAAGAUGACGGAGGAAAUCUGUGCAAUACUGAUGAGAGGAACCUUACCACAAUCGAUCAACAAAACCUUUGUCCGACUCAUCCCCAAAGUGAAAAGCCCGAAGUCAGUUGCUGAGACCCAUUGCACUUUGCAAUGUAUACUACAAGAUUAUAUCCAAGCUGUUUAUCAACCGCCUCAGACCUCUACUCCCAAAGCUCAUCUCAGACACCCAGUCGGCCUUUGUACCUGGAAGAGCAAUUGCAGAUAAUGUACUAAUUACUCAUGAAACGCUACACUUCCUCAAGAGCUCAAAAGCAACAAAACACUGCUCAAUGGCAAUAAAGACUGAUAUGAGUAAAGCCUAUGAUAGGCUCGAAUGGUCGUUCAUCUCGGCGGUUCUUGAACGCCUUGGCUUUCAUGCUAAAUGGAUAAACUGGAUACUACAAUGCAUAACUACAGUCUCCUAUUCUUACCUGAUCAAUGGAGCAGCCCAAGGAAUAGUUGUCCCUCAGAGAGGAAUUCGACAAGGUGAUCCUCUAAGCCCUUACAUCUUCAUCCUUUGCAGCGAAGUACUAUCGAGACUCUGUAAAAAAGCACAGAACAAUGGCUUGCUACCAGGCGUGAGAGUAUCUCGAUGUAGUCCAAGAAUCAAUCACCUGUUGUUUGCUGAUGACACUAUGUUCUUCAGCAAAACUACUCCAAAAAGCUGCCAAGCCCUCGUCUCUAUUCUUCUGAAGUAUGAAGCUGCUUCAGGACAGAAGAUCAACAAACAGAAAUCAGCAAUAACAUCUCAAGCAAAACCCCUCAGGAAAUUAAAGACCGAGUCAAGCGGACUCUGGGCAUUGAUCAGGAGGGGAGAUCUGGGAAAUACCUUGGACUACCUGAAAGCUUUACCCGGAGGAAAAAGGACCUAUUCACAGGAAUAGUCGACCGUAUCAAGCAGAGAGCAUUAGGCUGGUCUAACCGAUUCCUAUCAAGUGCUGGGAAGCUAACAAUGCUCAAAUCGGUUCUCGCUGCAAUCCCUACACACUCAAUGACAUGCUUCAAACUUCCAGCCAGCCUCUGCAAAAGAAUUCAGUCCACUUUAACCAGGUUUUGAUGGGACUCAAAACCAGGGAAAACAAAGAUGUGUUGGAUUGCUUGGAAAACGCUAGUUAAGUCAAAGAGAAUGGGAGGACUUGGACUAAGGGAGAUCCAAAGUUAUAAUGAUGCUCUUUUGGCAAAGCUUACCUGGAGAAUCAUCAAGAAGCCAUCCAGCCUUCUAGCAAGGAUCCUCAUCGGAAAAUACUGCCAAGACUCUAACAUCCUGAAGGUUCAACCUCCUAACAACACGUCUCACGGAUGGAGAGGAAUCUUGAUUGGAAGAGACCUAAUCAUCAAGCAGCUCGGUGUAGUCAUCAGAAAUGGAAAAAACACUCUCAUCUGGCAGGACCCUUGGCUGUCUCUCAACCAUCCCCAACGACCUUUGGGACCACCACAACAAAAUACAAAGGAUAUGAGAGUUGCAGACCUACUCAUUCCUCGAUCUGGGAAAUGGGAUAAAGAAAAGGUUGAAAACCUCUUACCACAGUACGCCAAGAAGAUACUUAGCAUGAAGCCGAGUGUAACUGGAGCCGAUGACUCCUAUAUCUGGCUCCCCAACAAAACGGGAGAGUAUUCUGCAAAAACGGGCUACUAUAUCGCAUUAGAAGGAAUAGAAGGAAUUGACACAAACUCACCUGAGGUGUUUAACUGGCAUACGGAGAUAUGUAAGGGCAGGUUCUCGCCAAAGUUGAAAUUAUUCAUGUGGAAAGUAAUCCAAAAGGCUAUACCUGUAGGGGAAAGUCUCCUGAAUCGUGGCAUUGAUACAGAUCCAGGAUGCAUCCACUGUGGCGAACUUGAAUCGGCCAAACACCUCUUUCUUGAAUGCCCUUUUGCUCGUCAAGCGUGGUCCUUACUUCCUACAGCAACCCCUUUUGAGUCAAAUCGUUCCCAGGAAUUCCAUCAAGCUCUAAGUGCAUCAAAGGGAAUCACAUGCCUACCACCUACGGGGAUCGGACUGGGACCGAUCUUCCCAUGGCUCUGCUGGGCCAUCUGGAAAGCUCGUAACCAAGCCCUGUUUGAAGAUCGCCGCUUUAGCCCACAGGAGGCGGUGAACAAAGCAAUUAUCGAAGCCCGGGAAUGGCAACAAGCGCAAGAACAAAAUCAACCAAAAGCUAGAUCCAAUCCACAUCCUAAUACAGAAAACCCAACAUCAGUGGCAGGCACAGAUCUCAUCACUUGCCAUACUGAUGCAGCUUGGAGGAAAGAUAAACAAUCGCCGGGUUUGGGAUUUACCUUCUCGAACCACCUGGGCACCAAAGUACACUCCGGAAAAGCCUCUGACGACCUUGUCCCAUCCUCGCUUGUGGCAGUGGCGUUGGCAGUAAGAGAGGCGCUGAUCCACGGCUUGGAACAAGGCUUCCUUAAUAUCAUCGUCAAAUCAGAUGCUCGAGAUCUCAUCCGAGCAAUAAACUCGCAGGAGCAAAUCAAGGAGAUCAUUGGCAUCCUCUUCGAUGUGAACACUCUUGCUAAACUGUUUUCUUCAAUUUCUUUUGUGUUUAUCCGUAGAUCUGAGAACGAGAGAGCUGAUGCUCUAGCGAAAUCUGCUCUGUCUGAGCUCUGUUAUGAUCGCAUUUAUGUUUGACCGGUUUUAAUUAAAUGAAAGUAGACGUUCAAAAAAAAAUUGAUUGCGACACCCUUAUAUAUUAGAGUUUCAGUUUAUUUAUUAUAAUAUAUUUGAUCUGCUAAGAUUUGCUAAAAUUUACAUGACUUUAUCAGUAUCGUAAAAUAAUUAUUUUAUACUUUAACAAAAAAAUAAUAUUAUUUUAUAUUAGAUCUACUGAAUUUCUUAAAGUUAGUAUAUUAGUAGUCUACUGUACACUUAAUAAUAGUACCUGGAAGAAAUGGAAAAUAUUCAAAGAAACAAAAAAAAUAAAGUUUCGAGGAGGCUUGUUUAGCGGGUAUAUAGAGACUAACUAGAGUUGGAUUCUCUUUUGUCUCUCUCUAUCUCCUUCUCUAUGUAAGAAGACUCUCUAACAAUUCAUAAUUUCUCUGCUCUUUUCUUGAUUUGAAACUCUAAUUAAAAAAAAACAAGAGACUAAACAAAGAGUAUUUAAUGUGAGAAAAGAACACUCUUUUUUACAAUUUUGCUUAUUCUCUCUCUCUCUCUCUCUCUCUCUCUCUCUCUCUCUCUUUCUCACUCUCUAAGAGAACAGAGGCGUCUGAUGUAACUUUUUCGAUGGAGGAGGGUUAAUGACAGGUGGAUGACUCUAAUAAUGUUAUAUUUACUUAAAAACCAAACUAAUUAUUUUUAAGUUUUAUUUAACUAAAUGGAUUAUAGUUAAAAUUAUGUCUAAGAAAACGUGUUCGCGGUAUACAUUAAAUAUAAAACCAAAAAGCUUAAUCAAUCAAAUAUAUCUAAUAAAUCAGAAAUAUUACAAUUUGACAGAAAAUUAAGUUAUAAAUAAUCUCAGACGCACCUAGAAAUCUAUCUUCAUAUUGAGAAGGAAAGAGGGAUUUGUGUACAAAUUUACCACUGGUUUUCAAUCUAUUUUUUAUAAUUCAAACAGCUAAAUAUAACAGCUAUAAACAGAAGCGUCAGAUGUAACUUUUCCGAUGGAGAAGGUUGAUGAUAGUGAUGUUUAGAUCGAUGGUAAAUAAGAAGCGGGUGACUGUUCAUUUGUUCAUCCAAAUAAUGCAUCCAGGUUCAACAUAUAAAUGUACUGAUAGAUCCAUAUUUAAGUUAAGUAUUUAAAAAUAAAUUAUAUUGAUUGUGACACCCUUAUAUAUUCGAGUUUUGAUUUAUUUAUUAUAAUAUAUUUGAUCUGCUAAGAUUUGCUAAAAUUUACAUGCCUUUAUCAGUAUCGUAAAAUAAUUAUUUUAUAUUUUAACAAAAAAUAAUUAUUAUUUUAUAUUAGAUCUACUGAAUUUCUUAAAGUUAGUAUAUUAGUAGUUUACUGCAAAGUUAAUAAUAGUACCUGGAAAAAAUAGAAAAUAUUCAAAAAAAAAAAACAAAGUUUCGGGGAAGCUUGUUUAGCAGGUAUAUAGAGCCUAACUAGAGUUAGAUUCUCUUUAGUCUCUCUCUAUCUCCUUCUCUAUGUAAGAAGACUCUCUAACAAUUCCUAAUUUCUCUGCUCUUUUGUUGAUUUGAAACCCUAAUUAAAAAAAAAAGACUUAGCAAAGAGUAUUUAAUGUGAGAGAAGAGCACUCUCUUUUACAAUUUUGCUUAUUCUCUCUCUCUCUCUCUCUCUCUCUCUCUCUCUCUCUUUCUAAGAGAACAGAGACGUCUGAUGUAACUUUUUCGAUGGAGGAGGGUUAAUGACAGGUAGGUGACUCUAAUAAAGUUAUAUUUAAUUAAAAACUAAACUAAUUAUUUUUAAGUUAUAUUUAACUAGAUGGAUUAUAGUUAAAAUUAUGUCUAAUAAAACGUGUUCACGGUACACAUUAAAUAUAAAACCAAAAAAAUUUAAUCAAUAAAUGAUACUAAUAAAUCACAAAUAUUACAAUCUAACAGCAAAUUAAGUUAUAAAUAAUCUCAGACGCACCUAGAAAUCAAUCUUCAUAUUGAGAAGGGAAGAAAGAUUUGUGUACAAAUUUACCACUGGUUUUCAGUCUAUUUUUUAUAAUUCAAACAGUUAAAUAUAACAGCUAUAAACAGAAGCGUCUGAUGUAACUUUUCUGAUGGAGAAGGUUGAUGAUAGUGAUGUUUAGAUCAAUGGUAAAUAAGAAGUGGGUGACUGUUCAUUUUUUCAUCCGAAUAAUGCAUCCAGGUUAACCAUAUAAAUGUACUGACAGAUCCAUAUUUAAGUUAAGUAUUUAAAAAUAAAUUAUAUUGAUUGUGACACUCUUAUAUAUUAGAGUUUUGAUUUAUUUAUUAUAAUAUAUUUGAUCUGUUAAGAUUUGAUAAAAUUUACAUGACUUUAUCAGUAUUGUAAAAUAAUUAUUUUAUACUUUAACAAAAAAUAAUUAUUAUUUUAUAUUAGAUCUACUGAAUUUCUUAAAGUUAGUAUAUUAGUAGUUUACUGCAAUGUUAAUAAUAGUACCUGGAAAAAAUGGAAAAUAUUCAUAAAAAAACAAAAGUUUCGAGGAGGCUUGUUUAGCAGGUAUAUAGAGCCUAACUAGAGUUGGAUUCUCUUUAGUCUCUCUCUAUCUCUUUUUCUAUGUAAGAAGACUCUCUAACAAUUCCUAAUUUCUCUGCUCUCUUGUUUAUUCUCUCUCUCUCUCUCUCUCUCUCUCUCUCUCUCUUUCUCUUUCUCUUUCUCUCUCUCUCUCUGUCUCUAAGAGAACAGAGACGUCUGUUGUAACUUUUUCGAUGGAGGAGGGUUAAUGACAGGUGGGUGACUCUAAUAAAGUUAUAUUUACUUAAAAAUUAAACUAAUUAUUUUUUAAGUUAUAUUUAACUAAAUAUAUUAUAAUUAAAAUUAUGUCUAAUAAAACGUGUUCACAAAUAUUACAAUCUGACAGCAAAUUAAGUUAUAAAUAAUCUCAAGCGCACCUAGAAAUCUAUCUUCCUUUUGAGAAGGGAAAAGAGAUUUUUGUACAAACCCCUGGUUUUCAAUCUGUUUUUUUUAUAAUUCAUACAGCUAAAUAUAACAGCUAUAAACAGAUAUAAUUAAUUUCCAUUAAAUUUCCUAUGUAAAUGUCGGACGAUUUUGUUUUGGUUGGUAAUCGAUCACAAAUCUCCCACCAAAUUGUGAUCGAUAAACUCGCUUGCAAAAAUGCAACAAUUUUUCCACCAAAUCAUUAAACAAAGGCAUUAAAUUGGUUGCCAACUUUUUCAUUAAAUUGGUUGCCAAUCAUUAAAUUGGUUGCCAAUUUUUUCAACCCAAAUUUCGGUGGAAAAUGUGGUGGUGUUUUGAAAUAUUUUCUCGUGGUGUGAGAUGAAAGGAGUCGAAUAAAUCAGGAGAUGGAGAGGUUUGAAUUUUGACCAGCGAAUCUUCAAGAAUCCUGUUUACACGAAAAGGGAAUCACAUGUUACCAAUAGAUCAUGGUUUCAGAAACAUCUUUAAAUCAAGUAUCAUGUAUCUUCUUAUAUUUUUUUCCAUCAUUUUAUGCACCAACAUCCCCUGUUUUUGAAUAACUUCAGCCCAAGCUAAAUUGGAGUGACUGUAAAUAAAUAAGAAAGACAUCACAAAGAUUCUAAGUCAGUAUUUGUGAUGAUGGAAAUAUUGGGUGCUAUAUUUGUACCUGAAGUAACUUUGUCUAAAGGAAGUGUCAUUUGCAGAUGAAACCACAAUGGGAAUACAAUCGAUAUCCCCACGAGAACUAUCACAUCUGUCUAGAUCCGUCCUAAACUAUAAUCUCGUUCUAAAUACCUGUAAAAACAAAGUUAUAGAUUUAUAUCUCCCAAAAAUAUGUUUCAAUCCUAUACCUCCACAAAAUAUAUUUUAUUGGUUACAAACCAAGCAUAAAUAGACCAAAACUAAUUCAAAACCAUGCUAAAAGCCAAUUUCAAAACGGACCCAAAAAAAUGGACCCAACCACUUGAUUUUUUCUUCAUAUGAUUUUUUUUUUACAUUUUCACACCGAACAUAAUAUAAGAAAAAAAAAACAAAUCAUCAAUCUUUUUUUGUUUGUUUAUAAAUCAUCAAUCUAAUUUAAGAAUUUCUUCUCAUCAACCAAACAAAACCCACGACAAAAUAAAGAAUAAACCAUGGGAAAAUUUGAAGCUUUGAAAACGAAAUAAAGAAAAUGUCUCUCCCUCAACGCAAUAACUAUUGAUAUCUUCCCUCAACGUUCGCAUAACACUUACAUUCUAUUCCCAUCAAUGGUUUACUCUUCCUUUCCCCUGCGCUCGCUGAUUAGCUCCUUCUCACGGCGACGUAAAAAGACACCAUUCCGGCAAAACGCCUUACGUUUUCUACUCUUCGAAGGCUGAGACGAAGGACAAUUUUUUCCAAUUAACCAGAGUUUCUCCCAAUGAAGUUUCAAGAGAGCUUCCAGAUGAGAGCAUUACCGGUGAAAUCCUCGCCGGUCAAAGCCUUUAUAUCUCUUAUAAUUAAAUCCAACGCUGAUUUUGAUUUCGAUCUCGAGCAGUUUUACUCCAUGAUUCUUCCUAAUUCGUCGACUAAAUUCUCACUAAUCUCUUUCCCUCCACUAACUAUGCUUAACUUACUAAUAUUCAGAGGAAAAAAAACUAAACUUUCCUCUAUUGAUCAAAUCAGUAAACGUUUUAAGAGCUUCACCACCGCAAAUCCCACAAGCAGAGGAUUCUUCUUAUCUCAGGCCCAGAACCUCUCUAUUUCUCCGGAAGUUCUCAUCGAAAUCGCUGUUAAAUCCAAUUCUGUCCCGCCCCAAAUCUGAUUCUGGAAGAGUGCAUAGAAUCAGAGGCGAAGAAGAAGAAAAAUAAGAAGAGGAAAAGAAAGAAGAAGAUGAAAAUGAAGUAUCGGUGGGUCUUUUUAUGUCGGGUAUAAAUAUAAUCAGGGUAAAUAUCGUUUUAGUAUCAAGUUUAUGUGGUUAACGGUUAAUUGGUAAAUACUAAACCAAAUAAAAUCAGGUUUAUGUGGUUUUUAGAUUUUGAACUCUCGGUUCUGGGAGAUAUAGGUUUGAAAUUUUUUUUCAAAGAGAUAUGUAGGUUUGAAAUAUUUAUUUUCGGAUAUAUCGAUCUAUAACCUUUUUUGCGGGGAUUUAGAUAGUUCACAUGGGGAAAUAGAUUGUCUUUCCCUGAAAAAUUAAAGUUUCGAGAAAGAAAAAAAUCAAUCUCUUUUAUAUAGCCCAAUGGAGGGGAUAUUUUUCCAUCUUCACCCAAAAAUAAAUGAUAAAACAAAUAAAAUCAGUUCUCAGCUAAUGGAUAAAAAUGAUAGUAUUGUUUUGAUAAAUGACUUGAUAUAAAUAUUAGUAUUUUUGUUAAUUACCUAACCCAGAUCUGAAUCAAGAUUCCACUGCCGUGCUUGAUGUUCUUGUAGUGACCGUAAAAUUUGAAGCCUCCUCGACGAUAUCUACGCUUUCCUUAGAUUUUUCAUAUAUUUCAUAUUGCAACCAAGAUGUUUUUUUUGUUCUAGAGAAUUUUAAUAUAUUUUUUUUGCCUAAAAUUAGUUAAAAAAGCUGAAAAUUUUAAGAUUUACAGUAACUUCAAAAUUAAUAUUAUUUCCCAUCUUUUCUUCUUUCUCCGUUUUUUCCUUUUCUUGACUCGCUUCUUUGUUUUAUUUUUUAUUUUCUGUUUCUUUCCAGCUUCUAAUUUUUUUUUAUUUUUUAUUUUAUUUCAGAGUAUCAACAACAAAAUUUUCAUUCACUAGAGAUUACAAGACAAAAAAGAAAACUAUAUUGGUGGAGAAAUAGAGGAAUGAGAAGAAAGAGACAAAUAGUUUGUGUUUAUGUUCACUCAGGUUUUUCUGAAAACAUAUUCCGUUCUUUUUAAGAUGGUAUGAAUACUUUUAAAGUUGAGAAAAAAAUAUUAAGAUUAAUAAAGAUAAAAACAUAUUUUUAUUAUUAAAAACUCUACUUCACCAAUAUACAUUUAAGAAAGUUUAGUGGGACAAUAUGUGACUUAAUUUGUACCUAUUAUCCCACUAAAAUUUCUUGAAAUAUAGAGUCUGAUUUGUUGACAUAUAUAGAGGAAAGGGAGAGCAUGAGAUUUUUUUCCGCUAGAUUCUACAAAUAAAUUAUCAAUCAAGGUAAAGAGAGAGAAAAGAAAAGUGAGAAUUUUUUUUCGAAAUGGAAAACUUAAUCCCACCAAUAAAAGACAAGCGGAAUACAUCAGGUCAAUCCUGUUGACACUAAGAAAAACAUAGUCAAAGUAUACCCAAAAAAAUAAGAUCCGAGUUCUGUAUAAGAACUAUGAUAACUCCAAAGAAGAACAUGACAUUGUAGAAGUGAUGAAGGAUUACUGUGAUGACAAGAAGAUCAAAACGGUGUGGUUCUUACUGCUAAGUGCUCUAAUCCUUUCUCUCAUUUUUUUUCAUUCCUCUCUCCCACUUUUUUUUUUUUACUAAAUCAGACCCAUAAACUAAAGUUGGACGGACUCAAUGUUCAAAAUUUUUCUAGCUAGUCAGACAGCUGAGUAGGGCCUAGUGCCUAGCACAUAAAUAGGAGAUUAUUUGGUGGUUAAACAAGAUAUCUUGUACUUUUAUUAUAUAUGCAUAUAUAUUGAAAUACGAGUACCAAACAUGUGAUAAUUUUCUAGUUUAGUGGUCCAUGACAAAGGUUUGCAAAUAUAAAUCACAAGUUCGAAGUUCAGUGACACUGUUUUGGUGUUUUCUUCAUUUAAGGUUUACUCGUAAAUUGACUGAAAUACACUCGUCUUUCUUCUUCUCCUUUGCAACCACAAAUACUAAUGUCUUCCAUUUUUUUUUGUUUUUUUUUUCGGGAAAAUUGCAUUUUUAACCUUCAAAGUUGAAUAAGCUAACAUUUUAAACCUCAACAGAAUUAUACUAACACUUUAAACCUUCAAACAUAUUAUACUAACACUUUAAACCUUCAAUCUAACUAAUUUAUUUGUGCUGGCAUAAAGAUUACCGGAAAAGUUCAGUUUCCAGUAAAAAUGGUUGAUUAACAAUUUUUUUGUUUAAAAUUAAUUAAUUAAUUUUAUUAAUUAAAUAUAAAAUACAAAAAAAAAAACAUCUCCUCCAGCUCUUGUAUUCUCUGGCGAAUACGUGACCUCUUCCACCAAUCACCACUCAUCAGAACUAUUAACUCUCUCUAGAACAGCUCAGCGUAACUUAUUCCAUGGCCAUAUUCUCUGACCAAACAAACCCAUCGAUGCUUAAGCAAUCUCGAUCCUUCGGUUUCUCCGCCUUGGCUCCUUCGUUGUCAUUCUCGUCGUUACAUGUGCAAUCCCGGUGAAUGAUUGUGCAAUUGGAGAUCUGGAGUAAUCAGCGGUAGAAAAUGAAACAGAAUCAAUUGGAUUUGAUAUUUUUUUUCUUUGUAUUUGGAAUACCCAAAGAUUGUAACUUGUGAGGUUAAGGAAGCCGUAUAUGACAAACUCCAAUCGGUUUCUCGGGUUAUUGAGGAAUCAUUUUUUGGAAAAGCUAUAAAAUCCCACUUGCUCUUCUAGUUCUCGGUCUUAUACUAAUGGUUCAGUAAUAGAUUUCCUCAGAAAAAAUUAAACCAAAAAUCAGGAGGAAGCUUGGUGCAGCGUGGAUUAUGGAGAUUCUUGGUGAAUUUCUUAAAGCGAUUAACUUAGAUGUUCUUGUUCAGAUGUAAUUUAACUUACAUUAAUUGAGUUUGAUCUUAUAGAUUUUUUGUUAGAGAAGAGGAGGAUCGGUGGAGAAGAUGAGUUUUUGUAUUUUGUUUUUUUUUGUUUAAAAUAAUUAUUAAAUAAUAAUAAAAUUUAUUAUAUUUUAAAACAAAAUAAAAUAACUGACACGUCACCAUAUUUUUAUCGGAAGCUAAUCAGUUCCAGUCAUUUUUCUUACAGUGCAAAUAAAUUAGUUAGAUUGAAAGUUUAAAGUGUUAGUAUAAUAUGUUUGAAGGUUUAAAGUGUCUUUGUAAUUCUAUCAAGGUUUAAAGUAUUAGCUUAUUCAACUUUGAAUGUUAAAAAUGUGAUUUUCCUUUUUUUUCACUGUAAUUAAUGUCCGUUUUCGCUUGUUUUUCUUGAGAUUUAUACCAAAAUAUCACAGAUUAACAUUCUAUUUUGCGAUAUCAACCUUAUAACCCAGUUUUUUAGAUUUCAUAUUAAAUGGCUGAUUUUGAGCCGAAUCGCGGCAACAAUGUAACCAGCCGCCGAGCGCCUAAUCGCCGAUUGAGCGGCCACGUUUUUGAACAGGGAUGGGAUAGACAAUGAAACGCUAAGCGAAUGCAGAUCAGAAAUAUCAAAUGUGGAACAAAAGAUCGAGUGGAAUAAAUGCUGAUCAAGUUGAACAAAACCAGAUUGAGUGGAACAAAUGCGGAUCAAUAGACUAGACGUUCCAAAAUAUUGCUCGAAGAUUUAUAAUUUUUAGUAUGAUAAUGCAAUUUUUUCUUCUCUUUGCAACAAUUUAGUUUAAAGUUGGAUGGGCUCAAUGUUCAAAAUUUUGCUAGCUAGUCAGACAGCUGAGGGGGGCCUAGUGCCUAGCACAUAAAUCGGAGAGUAUUUGGUGGUUAAACGGGAUAUCUUGUACUUUUAUUAUAUAUGCAUAUAUAUUGAAAUACGGUUACCAAAUAUGUGAUAAUUUUCUAGUUUAGUGGUCCAUGACAAAGGUUUGCAAAUAUAAAUCACAAGUUUGAAGUCCAGUGACACUGUUUUGGUAUUUUUUUCAUUUAAGGUUUACUUGUAAAUUGACUGAAAUACACUCGUCUUUCUUCUUCUCCUUUGCAACCACAAAUACUAAUGUCUGCCAUUUUUUUUGUUUUUUGUUUUUACUGUAAUUAAUAUCCAUUUUUGCUUGUUUUUCUUGAGAUUUAUACCAAAAUAUCACAGAUUAACAUUCCAUUUUGCGAUAUAAGGCUUAUAACCCAGUUUUUUAGAUUUCCUAUUAGAUGGCUGAUUUUGAGCCGAAUCGGGGCAGCAAUGUAACCAGCCGCCGAGCGCCUAAUCUCCGAUUAAGCGGCCACGUUUUUGAACAGGGAUGGGAUAGACAAUGAAACGUUAAGCGAAUGCAGAUCAGAAAUAUCAAAUGUGGAACAAAAGAUCGAGUGGAAUAAAUGCUGAUCAAGUUGGACUAAACCAGAUUGAGUGGAAAAAAUGCGGAUCAAUGGACUAGACGUUCCAAAAUAUUGCUCGAAGAUUUGUAAUUUUUAGUAUGAUAGUGCAAUUUUUUAUUUUCUUUGCAACAAUUUAGUUUUGAGAAAAUGGAUGGUUCAAAAUUUGGAUCUAGGCAUAAUCAGUGAUUUUGUUUCUGUUAGGGGUUUUCUUCGACAGAUCUGGUUCUGACUUAUUUUGGAUCUACUUUUUCUAGCCUCUCAUGCUCCAAUUUUUAUCUUCAGGUUGUUUGGUGGAUUUGUUUUUGGCCUUUGCUGAGAAGGAUGAGCUUCCCGCCAUGGAGUUUGAGCAUCCAUUAAAGAAGUCGUGUUUUUGUAAGAUUAUGUCUUUGGUGUGGGUAAUUGAUGCGAGCUAGGGUUGAUGUCAUAGAAAAAGUUUUGAAUUUAUAAACUCUAGUGUCUGCAAGUGCACAACUGUGCGGUGUAGUACUUAGUGUAUCGAUCCAUAGGGAGGUGUCUUUUCUGUAAAAGUUUCAAAUUGGGCUUAGUAAACAGACUGAAAGACCAAUAGGGUUUCUAUAAGGGUUUAUGGGUGUCACGGAAAAGAAAAAAAAAAGAGAAAAACUACUAAACCUAAUCGAUAUAGGCUAAGAAAAUAAAAGAAAAUUUGGACAGGCAAGGAUAUCUCAGAGGAUGCUCGAUUCAUGCUAGGGUUCUAAGCUCAAAAAUCGGUUUUGGGAUAUACAUGGAACUAAAAUGGACACUGGUAUGAUUAGCCUAGUGUCGUAUGUCCUAAAUAACUAAUCACACAAACUCAACUAGUAGCUUUCGUCUCUAACCGUGGAGAGAUCAUGCAUUAAUUGAACGAGAUUCAUAUUUGCUCAUGACCUCUCUGAAGAUAGCUUUUGUCUCCUACAUUGAUUCCAUUCUUCUGAUGCUAUGUAUGGAUGAAUCUUUUAGACCUAACUACUAAACUAAUCUGAAAUAACUAAAGAAAAUAAAUGCAUGAUAGAUGAAUGCAUAAACUGAAUAGCUAGAUAAAAAGGGAUAACAAGGGUUCAAGAGAAAAAUGUUUGUCUCCCUAACCUAAGAACUAAUUAAAUAAAAGUUUGGUGGCUAAAAAAAUCUACACAGGAUCACACACUCGAAAUACAGUUUCUAAAACAUAUAUUUAUAGGUCUUCAAGUCUUCUAUGUCGUCUUUAGGGUUUUCUUUGAACAUAAUACAGUAUGGGCUUAAAGUUGGGCAUCAGGCUGAGAUAAGACUUGACGCGAGUGACAGCUCUCCGGGACCGGUAAAACAGAGUUCCACCACAGGUGCAGGGUGUGAGGCGCGGCCAGGCCUGUGGUUGCCGCGGGUCAGCUUAAAGUCGGAAUGGUUGACGAAAAAUCUUGGUCUUCAUGUAUCUUUUAAUUGAACCGUUGGAUUGUCUUCAAGUAAUGUGAAAUGAAAGUCAUCUUGUUCCUCUUGAAUGUCAACAAAUUUGAGCUGGAUCAGACGGUGAAAAAAUCUUCAUUUGAGACUGAACUUUUGAUGGUUUGACGCUGAGCUAAAGAUGUGGGUUUUCUCCAUUUUGCAAUGUUUUUUCCUAAGUAACCAGAAAAGAGUCUUGAAACUAAAAAUAUAGGAAAAUCGUAAUAAAAACACUUAAAACUAGUUUGAACACUUGAAAUUGUAUAAGAAAUCCUUAAUGAAAAUAUGUAAAAACACGGUGUUAUCAGUGACUCUCUGUGAUCACUGAUAACACCAAAUUUUACCCAAUAUCAAUAAGUAAUUCUUAUGCUAUUUUAAAAAUUUUAUUUAGUUUUAAGUGUUUUUAUUAUGAUUUUCCUAUAUUUCUAGUUUCAAGACUCUUUUUAAGUUACUUAGGCAAAAACAAUGCAAACUGGAGAAAAAUCUAUUUUUGGCCAAUUUUGGACUAUCGUUCACAUCUUCUCACCGUCUGAUCAAGCCCAAAUGUGGAUAAAAGAUAGGGGAGAUAACCAGCUUUCUAAUGCAGUUAUAUUGGACGCAAGCCAACGGUUAGAUCUGUAGAUAUCCUCAAUGGACUAAAGAUAUGUUCUUAGUCUCUCGAAAGAAGCAAGAGAAGAAUUAACUAUUUGACCUCAUAGGCCAACCACCGCGGUUCAAAUGGGUCGUGCCCGCGGUAAAAACCCUCUUGGCCGCGCCUCCAGGCCUGCACCUGCAGGAGAACCAUGUUUUAGCAGUCCUAGAGAGUCUCCAUCCACGACAAGCCCAUUCUCGGCCCUAAGGCCCAUUUUCAAGCUCCACUCAUUCUCUUUUCAAAAAAUUCCCUAAGGAGGACCUAGAAGACUUGAAGAACUAUAAAUAUGUGUUUUAAAGUUUGUGUGUACUCUUGUGCCUUAGUUUUAGAGCCACCAAAAUUUUGUUUCUUAGGUUUAGGUUAGGGAGAUAAAGAUUCUUCGCUUAAACACUUGUUAUUUCUUUUGAUUUAUCUAUUUAGUUUAUGCUAUCUGAUGUAGGAACAAGUGGUGACUUGUCCUUGCUUGGGUGGAAAGGUGGUGAAUCUCUAGUUGGCCGUACGACUCUCUCUAGAUGACUCGAUAGAAAGGGAGUGAUUAAACGAUGAGACCGGAUAACAAUGGAUCGAGAGACGCCACACAGAUGAUGGAAGAGUCUGUGAUAAGUCUUGUUCUUCAGCUUCAAAGGAAUCGCACCCAAGAAGAGGAAGAGAACUAGCUGCGGCUAGGGUUUUUGCUUUCAAAGAAAACUCGGUUAUUUUAUUGAUAGGUUAAAAAUUUACAUGCUGAGAAGGACCUUAUAUAAUGGUUCGGCAGCGGGGGUGGCUUCUCUUGGCCGAAAAAUACAGAAAAGGAAACUACAAAGCUCAUCGUUUAACUAAAGCAACAAAAAUGGAAAAAUUCUAAAAAACUAAGAAAAACGACUAAGGCAAAGAAAAUCUCCUGCAAAACAAACAAUAAACUCGUGAAAUAUAAUCCAAUUGUAAACACUUACAUUGGUUCGAUGAGUGGCAUUUCCACUUGCUUGGAGAUGACAAACGUAGUAGCGUCCUUGAUGCCUUGUAAAACAGGUAAGAAUGAUAUGGCUUGACGCUUGAGUUGAGAGUAGUCAUUGCUCGGUGUCUCUUUGACUUUCUUGGCUUCUUGAAGGUCUUGGCUUGAACCGGCCGAGUCUUCCACGUCGUCUUGUUGGGUCUCAAGUGUGCUGAACUCGGUUAGAGGCUCCAUUGGUGUCUCUCGGGUGAUCUCCCCUUUGAGUAGCUUCUCUUUGAGUUCCUCGUGCUCUAUAAGUGUGAUCAGCCCUUCUAUUGACUUGUUGAACUCCUCUCUUAGACUCUUAGUUCCUGACCUUGUCCUU